UUUGAAGAAAUGUAAUUCGUUGAAUUCGACUUUGAUAUAUUAAUGAAUAUUGUGAAGACAAUCUCUAAUAUUUACUCAUUUGAUGUUUUUCCUCGAAUACAAGUUAAAAACUUAAAACUUCUUGGUCUUCGAUCUACAGAAUAUUUUAGUUGCAAGUCGAUUUGAACUUCGAUCUUCUGAAAUCCAAGGAAAGCUUAAUCUUCUAAGUCUUCAAUCUUUCAAAAGUUGUUGAUCUUGAGGUUGAUACAAACUUGAACGUCUUGAGAGCUUGUACAAGUUUGCAUCUCCAAUUCUUCAGAGCUUCGAUUAUUCUUUCAACCACAGACCUCCUUAACGAGUGACAAAUGUCUCUAUUUAUAGAGAAAUUUUGUGGGCUUUAGGUGGGCUUGGGCUCAUUUGCUUGUUGGACUUGAGCUUGGGUCCAUUUUCUUGACGGGCUCGGGCCCACUUGUUUGGCCCGAUUUUUCAUCAGGGGCUUGCAUUGGGUUGGAUAUGAGAAAACUUGCCUACCCAAAAUUCAAUCAAAUUUUAAUCAUCAUAAUUUGUUGUGAUGACAUGGAAAAAUUUAAUUGGCCGAAUAUUCUUUUCAAAUGUAACUUCGCCUUUAUAAUUAUUAAAAAGAUUAUUCUCGACCAAUUUAUGAAAAAAAAUCAUGUAUUAGAAAGUUCAUUAUAUUUUAAUAAUAUUAAAAUUUAAAACUAAAUUGUUGCAAAUAUAAAAAUAUAUGCAUACUCAUGUUAUUUUCAUAUAAGUUAUAAAGUCAAAUUGUUGUUUUCAUGGAGAGUUAAGUUGUAGCAACAUGAAAGUUCAAGGAAAGGGUUUUUUUUAACAUUUUUUUUCUCCAUUGGCACUCAAAUUGAGACUUGAGAAUUAAAAAAUGAAAUUUACAUAAUUAACGAGACUCAAAACAUAACAUAAGUAAUAAACAUUUUAAUUUGUUUAAAAUAAUAAAAUAUUUAGAAUUGUUUUCAAAUAUAGCAAAACUUUUUAAAAUAUUUAUAAAUAUAACAAAAUUGUAGUUUUCAUCACUAAUAGAUCCAAAAUAAACAUUUAUCACUCUAAUGAUAAACACUAAUAAAUUCAACAUCUAUUAUACACAGAAAAAGUAAGAUGUUAUAUUUGUGAAUACAAGAGAAUUCAUCUUCAUCUUUCAUGUGUCGCAACCGAGAGAAUCAUCAUUUUAUCUUCUAUGUGUUGCAGUCGAUAGGCUUCUCCAUGUUCAAGUUUGGCGUGAUAUCCAUCAUAAAAUUCAAGUCAAACUAAUGAUAAAGUUGGGUGUACUUUUAUCUUCAAUCUUGGUCGAUGUGCUCUAUCUUCAAGCUUUACGCUUCAAAAAAGGAAAUAAGUUAUUGUUUAAAAAAGAAAAAGGUAAACUAAAAGAAAUGAAAAAUGAAAAAGAACCAAAAAAAAAAGAAAGGAGAAAAGAAACAUAAAAUGAAGGAAGAAGAGGAAAGAAGGAAGAAGGAAGAGGAAGAAAAAGAAAAAGGAAGAAGAAGAAAGAAGGGGAAGAAAAAAAAAGAAAAGAAAGAAAAGAAACGAAAAGAAAAAGAGAAGAAUGAAGACGUCUGAUCGCUCCUUCUAAGGAGGUGAAUCUGACGACAAAAGUCUGAUCGUCUCUUUGAAGAAAUUGGAUCGCUGACGGCAAAGAAAAUUCGAGAAGCUCGAUCGCUCCUACUAGGGAGGUGGAUUUGAAUCGUUCCCUAGAAGAAGUUGGAUCACUGAUGGCGAAGUAGAUCGAGAUGCCGGAUCGCUUCUAUUAGGGAGGUGGAUCUAACAGCAAAAGUCUGAUCUCGUCCCUUAAAAGAAGUUAGAUCGCUGACGAUGAAGUAGAACCGAAAUGCCCGAUCGUUCCUACUAGGGAGGUGGAUUUGAAGGCCAAAGCCCGAUCGUCCCCUGAAAUAAGUUGGGUCACUAACUACGAAGCAAAAUCGAGAAGUCUGAUCUUUCCUACUAGGGAGGUGGAUCUGAUGGAAGAAGCUCAAUCAUCCUUUAGAAGAAGUUGGAUCGUGGACGACAAAGUAGAAUCGAGAUGCCCGAUCGUUCCUACUAAGGAAGUAGAUCUGACGGCCAAAGCCCGAUUGUCCCCUACUAGGAGUUGGAUCGCUGACGACGAAGAAGAAUUGAAAAGCCCGAUUGUCUCCUAGUAGAAGUUGGAUCGCUGAUAGCAAAGAAUAAUCGGGAUGCCCGAUCGUUCUUACUAAGGAGGUGGAUCUGACGGCAAAUGUCCAAUUGUCCUCUAGUAGAAGUUGGAUUGUUGAUAAUAGAGUCAUAGUUCAAACGUUUGCAUACAAAAAGAAAGGGAAGAAGAAGUUCUUACUUUUAGCUCCUGUAAAAAAAAAAGGGAAGGAAAAAAAAAAAAAGAAAAAAAGAGAGAGAGAAAGGGAGAAGAUAAAUUUUGUUGCUGGAUAAAGAGUAAAUGAUUAAGGUGUGAGUCUAUUUAUAAGGUCAACAAAUCCAAUUCUUAAAAGAAUUAGGAAUGAUAUUUAAUCAUUUUUUUUAUAACGAAUCUAAUUAUAAAAGGAUUAGGAAUGAUAUUUAAUCUUUUUUUAAUAAUAAAGAAAAGAUGAUCCAAUUAUCUUAUCUUAUUUUAAUUAUUUUCAAUAUUUAAAAUAGAAAAGAUAAUCCAAUUACUUUAUCUUAUUUUAUUUUUAGGACAAAUUUUGAAUUUAAUUUGUGAGAUAAUUAAAAUAUUUAAAUAUCUCAACAUUUUAAAAAAAAAUUAUUACUAAUUUUAAAAUUAAAAUUUGGGUUCAAAAUCCAAAAAUUAGCUUGGAUAUAUGGUUUCUUUUUAAUCUCAAGUAUAUAUUGGAGCCAUAAAUCCAACUUUAUCUCAAGAUUUAGGGUCUCAUUUUUAUCUCAAAUUAAAAUUGGUAAUUCCAAAUUAUUGUGCAUCCUCGAGAUAAAUUAAGGUAUGGUAGAGACUUCAUCCUUAUUUCAAAUUAAAAUUUUGGUUAUGUUCAAAAUUUUAUUUUUAAAAAUAUUAAAUUUAAAUUUUUAUCCCCAAAUCAAAUUAAAUGGUAAAACUUUGAAAUUUUAUCAAAUUAAUUAAGGUUUUGUCAUAUUACAUCCCUUAUUUCAAAUUGAAAUCAAACUCAUGUGCUAAAUUCAUAGUUUGGUUAAUUUGAUAUGUUAAAUUGAGCAAAAAAAAAAAAAAAAGCUCGUAUUUUGACUUCAAAUUUUUUUUUCAAUAUUCAUUCACCCAUAUACGUGCAUAAAUCUCGAAAGGGGCAUUUAUUUUAUAGAAAAUUUUGAGAUGAAUCACAAAUUGCCACGUCAUUUACUAAAUUAAUAAUGAAAAGUGCAAAUAAUUGAAUAUGAGACUAAUUAAAAAAUUAAUAUGUGUCCCAAAUUAAAAUUGAAAACAUAAAUUAGCCAAUUCUGAUAAUGUCAUGUGUUUUCAUCAUAACCGUUGGAUCAAGUUAAUUAUUUUCGUUCAAUUAAAUAUUUUUUACUUAGGUUAAGUUCAAUUGAGCCAAAAAAUAAGCUUAAUUGAGUCCAAAUGUAAAUAUGACUCAAAUCCUUGGUAUGAUCUAUGGAGUAACUAGGCUCAAGCUCUUAAAACCUACUAGAUAACUCUAUAAAUAGAGGAGCUCUCUUCAUUUGUAAGUGUUGGAAAUUUUUUACUUCAAAAAGUCUAGAGAGAAUUCUCCCAAGAACUGGAAGACUCCCUAACUCCUAAAGUCGACCGCCCUCGAAGAUUGGAGAUCCUUUGAAGAUACAAGAUUUCUUCCAAGACUCCAACUUCUACAAGCUUUCUUCUAAGAUUCCAACUUCCCUCAAAUAUUUAAGCUUCUUUGAAGAUACAAACUUUCUUCCAAGACUCCAACUUCAAGAACAUCAUGUGCUCUGUUUCCUCUAAUCAAACGUAAGCAUCCAACAGAGAAAGAAUUAGAGGAUUAAAUUCUAGAGAUCAAACCACAUCACAUCAAAUCAACUUAAGUUCAAAUCCACGAAUCAAGUUUCUUCGAAAAUCUCGUGCAAACAGACAUUAUAUCAUUUUUCUACUCUCUUUCUCUAAAAUCUUUUCUUUGUUCGAUUCUUUUAAAUUAUACUUAAAAGAAAAUUAAUGUCCUAUAUUUAUUAAAUAGUUACAUAAUUAAAAAAUUAAGUCAAGAAAAGGAUAAGGUAAAGAUAACCAAUAACAACGUAUACAAGUUUUCUCGAUUAUAGACGAGAUGAUGUAAACCUAAGAGUUAAGUAAUUAUUAAAAGGAAUUGUAUAGUUUAAAACUAAAGUGAAUUUGAUGUCUUGAGUUUUAAUCUUUCAUGAGAUGGAUAUGCAUUUUCGAUAACACAAAGGGAUUAUAUAUUAUAUAUUUUAUAGUUCCCUCUAAUUGUAUUUUUUUGUUUUUCAUUACUGUUCGAAUAAGAAAUUUUGAGACCAAUCACAAGUUGCCACAUCAUUUAUUAAGUUAAUGAUGAAAAGUACAAAUAAUUAAAUUUGGGACUAAUUAAAAUUGACAUAUGCUCCAAAUUAAAGAGUUAAAAAUAAAUAAAAUGGUCAUUCUAAUAAUGCCACAUGUUUUCAUAUUAAUAGUUGGAUUAAGUUAAUCAUUUUAGUUCAAUUAAAUAUUAUUUACUUGGACUAAGUUCAAUUAAGCCCAAAAAAUAAGCUUAAUUGAGCCCAAAGACUAAAUAUAACCUAAGUCCAUAUGGUUGAGCCCAUGGGUCUGGUCCAUUAGACCAACCAGGUUCAAACCCAUAAAGCCCACCAAUGAACUCUAUAAAUAGAGGAAUUCUCCUCAUUUGUAGGGGUUGGAAAAUUUUGACUCUAGAAGAUCCAUAGAGAAUUCUUCAAAGAGCUAGGAGACUCCCUAACUCCUGAAGUCGACCAUCCUCGAAGAUUGAGAUUGAAGCUUCUUUAAAGAUACAAGCUUUCUUCCAAGGCUUCAACUUCAAGAACAUCACGUGCUUCGCUUCCUCCAAAUCAAGCUGAAGCAUCCAGUUGAGAGAGAAUCAGAGGAUCAAAUUCUAGAGAUUGAACCGCAUCACAUCAAAUCAACAAAAAUACAACAUCAACUCCAACUUCAAGUCCACGAAUUAAAUUUCUCCGGAAAUCUCGUGCGAACAAAUUGGCACGCCCGGUGGGACCAUCUCUACCUCUCAUCUCUCUCUCAUCAUCUAGAUCUACAAGCAAAUCAAUGGCAUCAAAGAAAGCUGCAUCCAAAUCUUCAGCUGCAAGCGACACCUACACGGGACCUAUCACCCGUAGUCGUUCCAAGGGGAUCAUCCAAGGGCAAGAUCAAGGUUCCGCCAUCGCGCAGAGCAUCAUGAAGCAAUUGAUGGAAUCUCCUAGAGCUGGAAUUGUCAUCAAGGAAAAUCCUCUAUAUAAUGAUUAUGAUUCUGCAUCUAGCAGGUCACUGAAAGAAGCACACCCAGAUGUGAUGUCCGUCAUGAUGGCUGAUGUAGCAGUCGAGACUGCCAUGGCGGAGAUGGAGAGAAAAAUUAAUCUCCUGAUGAAGGUUGUUGAUGAACGAGACCACGAAAUUGCAGCUUUAAAGGAGCAGAUGCAGACUCGUGAAACUGCUGAAUCGAGUCAAAUGUGUUAAUGCGUCCGUGUAAAGUUGAUGACAAAGGGAAGAACGUCGUACAAGAAAAUCAGCCACAACAACAAUCAACUUCUGUGGCUUCUCUCUCGUUCAACAAUUACAAGAUAUGAUCACAAACUCCAUCAGAGCACAAUAUGGAGGCCCAUCUCAGACUUCUUUCAUGUACUCUAAACCAUACACCAAAAGAAUCGACAACUUGAGAAUGCCGCUUGGAUAUCAGCCUCCAAAAUUCCAGCAGUUUGACGGAAAGGGCAAUCCAAAACAGCACGUUGCUCACUUCGUCGAAACAUGUGAGAAUGCAGGAUCAAGAGGAGAUCAACUAGUCAGACAAUUUGUUCGAAGCUUGAAAGGAAAUGCUUUUGAAUGGUAUACUGAUCUGGAGCCAGAAAGCAUUGAGAGUUGGGAACAACUAGAAAAGGAGUUUCUCAAUCGCUUCUACAGCACCAGGCGUACUGUAAGCAUGAUGGAGCUUACAAAUACGAAACAAAGAAAGGGAGAACCAGUCAUCGACUACAUCAAUAGAUGGAGAGCUCUAAGUCUUGACUGUAAAGAUCGGCUCACCGAACUGUCGGCUGUAGAAAUGUGCACCCAAGGCAUGCACUGGGGACUCCUCUACAUUUUGCAGGGAAUAAAGCCCCGCACAUUUGAAGAACUGGCAACUCGAGCUCAUGAUAUGGAGUUGAGCAUCGCCAGUAGAGGAACUAAAGAUUUUCUUGUUCCUGAAGUAAAGAAAGAUAAGAAAGAGAUGAAAGGUGCUGAAAAGAUAGUGAAAAGCACGCGAAAGAAUCUAUGGUCGUAAACACAACCCCGCUGAAAUUCUCCAAAGGAAAGGAAGCGAGGGUUGAAAAGAAGGAUGAUGGAAGCGAAAGGCGACGUCUGACUUUAAAAGAAAGGCAGGAAAAAGUUUACCCAUUUCCUGAUUCAGAUAUCGCUGACAUGCUAGAGCAACUACUAGAGAAGCAGCUGAUCCAGCUGCCAGAAUGUAAACGACCUGAGCAAGCAGGAAAGGUAGAUGAUCCCAAUUACUGCAAGUAUCAUCGGGUCAUCAGUCAUCCAGUAGAGAAAUGCUUCGUGCUGAAGGAGCUAAUUCUAAGGUUGGCUCGUGAGAAAAGGAUUGAGCUAGAUUUGGAGGAAGUAGCUCAAACAAACCACGCUGAAGUGACGAUAAUGUCUGAGGCUUCUUCGUCGAGAUUGAUUUUUGAGCAAAGGAAAAGCUUGGUCCAGUUCGGGACCUUUGAGCCUAUAGUUGUCCAAUUCUUUCAGGAAAUCUCAUACGAGGAUCCUCAAGGAGAGAAAAGACCAAUCGAAGAAGACGAUGAAGGGUGGAUAGUGGUGACCCACCGAAAGAAAAGACAGUCGAUCCCGACCCAAAGAGAGUCUCGCUCUUACCAAAACUAUAGAAGAGGAAAUAAGACUCAAAAGAAUAAGAAAAAGAAGAAGACUCAUAAGCUUAAGCUCGUACAUAAUGAAGACAUGAAUUUCUCUCGACCUCAACGCUUAGUGACCUUGGCAGACUUCCUUCCAAAAAGCUUCCUUUGUGAUCAUCAGGAUGAAGACCCAGAAGUCGUUGCGUGUCAUGCUAUCAACACAACGGAGGAAGAAAUAAUCCCUCCAAGAUCACUAGAAGGAGAGGGAGUAUCAAAAGACCUUUCAAGGUUUAAUGUAGAGGAUCUAUUAUCACUUCCUCAAGAGACCAAAACCAUCCUUAUUGAUGCAUUGCUAAAUUCAAGAGCAUCAAGUUCGAGUACUCCGACUAUGACAUAUGAGAGUGGUUCUUAUUGUAUGUCUAUAGACUUCUCAGAUGAGGAUUUGUUGUUGGGAUCUAAACUUCAUAAUAGACCUUUGUAUGUUUCUGGAUACGUUCGAGAACAGAGAGUCGAUCGAAUCCUCAUUGAUAAUGGCUCAGCUGUCAACAUAAUGCCAAAGUCGACUAUGUGGCAAUUAGGCAUCUUGAUGGACGAGCUCUCAAAUAGCAAGCUAGUAAUUCAAGGUUUUAACCAAGGUAGCCAAAGAGCAAUAGGCAUGAUACGGUUAGAACUCAUAAUUGGCGACCUAAAGGCCAGUGCAUUGUUUCAUGUCAUAGACUCAAGGACUACUUACAAGUUGUUACUAGGGCGUCCUUGGAUUCAUGGAAACGGAGUAGUAACUUCAACACUGCAUCAGUGCUUCAAAUUUUAUCAGGACGGUGUAAAGAAGGUUGAAGCCGACUCUAAUCCAUUCUCAGAAGCUGAGUCUCACUUCGCAGAUGCAAAGUUUUAUUCAAAGAAUAAUAAUAUUUUAGAAGUUUUGCCUGCAGAAACCCCUCUUACAAAAGGAGAAGAUAAUUCACAACUGAAAUCACUCGCAACCACAGAACCACAUGAAAGUGCGAGAACCUUUAACUCUGGAAAGGGUGAAGCAUACACUAGCAGCACAAAGGGUAUGAUCUUGAAGGAUGAAAAUGCUGCAAACACACCAGUUUUGCGUUAUGUCCCUCUGUCAAGGCGCAAGAAAGGCGAAUCACCAUUCAUGGAGUCUCCAAAAGGUUUGAAAGUUGGUGACAUCGAAAUCAUAAAAGAAAGCUUCACUACACCACUAACUAAGAUAGCGAAGCAGGAGGUAAAGGUAGAUCUGGUGGAAGCAAACUUGCCCCAAAGGCGAACGAAAGACGGAUUCGACCCCAAGGCUUACAAAUUGAUGGCGAAAGCAGGUUAUGACUUCACAGCUCACACCGAGUUUAAAAGCUUGGAAAUUCAUGACCGACCUGAGCUCUCCUCAACUCAAAAGAAGCUUCUACGGGAAGGACAUUCUAUACCCGUGUCGAGAAAAGGACUCGGAUACAAGUCGCCAGAACCGAUCCGUAUAACUAAAAAGGGGAAGGAAAAAGUGGUUGACAUCAAUCAUAUAACUAUAGAGGAGGAUGACAAUACUGACGUAAAAGAAGGUGAUAAUCAGAGAAUCUCAGUAUUUGAUCGAAUUAGACCAUCUGUUGCACGUCCCGUAGUAUUUGAAAGGCUAAGCAUGACAGAGGCAGAAAGAGAAAGGCUCCAGUCAGUACCAAACCUUGAGAGACAUUCGGUCUUUCGAAGGCUAACUACGACUCCCAUAAAGGAAGAAAGCACAUGCCAUGCCUUGACAACUACAAGACCAUCAGCCUUUGAAAGGGUAUGUGUCUAAAAAGAAAAAUGUACAAGCACCCCGUGCUCCGAUUUUUAAUCAUCUCGGGGAUAAAGGAUCACACGACAACAUUGAUUCCAACAUAGAUACAAAGAAGAAGGAACCAAUGUCUCGUGUGAAAGUUUGGCGUCGAAUUAAGCAUACAGAUGUCGAUAAUUAUCGUAGUAAGAAGUUUCCUUGCGAGACAAAGGAAAAUGGAGAAAUUCAUAGCAACGUUCCUUCUCGCAUGAAAAGAAAAACUUUUGUUACUCUCAAUACAAGUCAAGGUUCGUUAAAGGUAAAAAGACAUGACAAACCACUAAUAUUGUACAUUGCUGCACAAGAAAGGUCCUUAGGAGCAUUACUGGCACAAGAAGAGGUAAAGGGAAAGGAGCGUUCUCUCUACUAUCUAAUCAGAACAUUAAUUGGGGCUGAAGUUAACUAUUCUCCUAUCGAAAAGAUGUGUCUUGCACUUUUCUUUGCCAUUGAUAAGUUGAGGCAUUACAUGCAGGCCUUCACGGUUCAUCUAGUGGCAAAAGCAGACCCUAUAAAGUAUGUUCUAUCCAGGCCAAUCAUCUCUGGACGCUUAGCCAAAUGGGCGGUUCUACUCCAACAAUAUGACAUUGUCUAUAUUCCCCAAAAGGCGAUAAAAGGACAAGCGCUAGCAGACUUUUUAGUAGACCACCCAAUUCCUUCGGAUUGGAAGUUAUGUGAUGACCUACCAGACGAUGAGGUUUUCUUCACAGAGUUAUGGAACCUUGGACUAUGUACUUCGAUGGUGCAGCUCGAAGAAGUGGUGCGGGGGCAGGCAUUGUCCUCAUUUCUCUUGAGAAGCAUAUGUUGCCUUAUAGCUUUGCACUUUCUGAAUUGUGUUCAAACAAUGUGGCUGAAUAUCAGGCUUUGAUAAUUGGCCUUCAAAUAGCAUUAGAAAUCGGAGUGUCAUUCAUAGAGGUCUAUGGUGAUUCAAAAUUGAUGAUCAAUCAACUCUCGCUUCAAUAUGACGUGAAACAUGAAGACUUGAAGCCAUAUUUUGCUUAUGCUCGACAAUUGAUGGAAAAGUUUGAUAAUGUGAUGUUAGAACAUGUCCCUAGAGUAGAAAAUAAGAGAGCGGAUGCAUUGGCAAAUUUAGCCACGACCUUGACCAUGCCAGAUGAUGUAACUCUGAACAUACCACUUUGUCAACGAUGGAUUAUACCCCCAGUUAGGCCUGAAUGUCAGGAAGUGAAUAUGGCAACAUCCUAUUUGAUUGAUGAAGAAGAUUGGCGUCAACCCAUCAUAGAGUAUCUUGAACAUGGAAAGCUUCUAAAGGAUUCUCGUCAUAAAAUUGAGAUACGAAGAAGGGCAGCACACUUCAUUUAUUACAAGGGAACUUUAUAUCGUCGUUCUCUUGAAGGGCUCUUCCUUCGAUGUCUCGAAAAGGAAGAUUCGGUAAAAGCUCUAAAGGAAGUACAUGCAGGUGUUUGUGGAGCACAUCAAUCGGGAUCAAAGCUUCAAUUCCAGCUAAGAAGAAUGGGCUACUACUGGCCUAAGAUGAUCCAAGAUUCAAUAGACUAUGUGAAGAAGUGUGAGCCUUGUCAAUACCAUGCAAACUUCAUACACCAACCUUCAGAACCUCUUCAUCCAACUGUGGCUUCUUGGCCUUUUGAGGCUUGGGGACUCGAUCUGGUUGGCCCCAUUACACCAAAAUCAUCAGCAGGACAUUCUUAUAUCCUAGCAGCAACAGACUAUUUUUCAAGUGGGCUGAGGCCAUUUCCUUGAGAGAAGCCAAGAAGGAGAACGUGGCAUACUUUAUUCGAACACACAUCAUCUAUCGAUACGGUGUUCCACAUCGAAUCGUGACGGAUAAUGGAAAGCAAUUCUCCAAUAGUAUGAUGGACAAGUUAUGUGAAAAAUUCAAAUUCAAGCAAUAUAAGUCAUCCAUGUACAACGCAGCUGCGAAUGGACUAGCAGAAGCAUUCAACAAAACAUUGUGUAAUCUUUUAAAGAAAAUUGUCUCCAAGUCAAAGAGGAAUUGACAAGAAAAGAUCGGCGAGGCAUUAUGGGCUUAUCGGACGACUCAUCGCACCCCUACAGGGGUUACACCAUAUUCGCUUGUUUACGGUGUGGAGGCUGUCCUUCCUCUCGAAAGGGAAAUUCCGUCACUAAGAAUGGCAGUACAAGAGGGAUUGACUACCGAAGAUAAUGUGAAGUUACGUCUUCAAGAAUUAGAAGCACUUGACGAAAAGCGAUUAGAGGCUCAGCAAGCAUUGGAAUGUUAUCAAGCGAGAAUGUCCAAAGCUUUUGAUAAACACGUUAAACCUCGCUCCUUUCAAGUCGGUGAUCUAGUACUUGCCGUAAGGAGACCGAUCAUCACAACAAGGCAUACAGGAAAUAAGUUCACACCUAAAUGGGAUGGACCCUACAUUGUUAAAGAAGUUUAUACAAAUGGCGCAUACAAGAUCGUUGAUCAAGACGGACUACGAAUUGGCCCAAUCAAUGGUAAAUUUCUUAAAAAAAUUUAUGCUUAAUUUUGUUAGGUAAAAAAAAAAAAAAAAAGUUGAACUACGUUAUGACUUGAUCCCUAUAUUAUAAAUGGUACGUAGGCAGCUUAAGGAAAACCUUAAGCCCAGUCCAGCAAAAAAAGGUUGAACUACGUUACGACUUGAUCCCUAUAUUAUAAAGGGUACGUAGGCAGCUUGAAGGAAACUUUAAGUUCAGUCCAAAAAAAAAAAAGAGGGAAGAAAGACAAAUUACAUUUAAUAGAAAAUAUGAUGAGGAGUGGAACAAUGAAAGAAUAAUUUUUAUUAUUAUGAACUUCUAGCAAAAAAAAAAAAAAUUAAAAAGGCAUAAGUAGAUAAAUAAGAGAAAGCAGAGAAUCAUGGAGUCCAUUUAAAGUUCUUCAGCUCCUCUAGUGUGCUUUCUAAAGAUUCACGAAGUGUUGAUAGCAUUUUAGCAUCAAUAUCUCCAACGAUCGGGGCACAUUCGAGUUUGUCAAUUUCCUCACAAGUCUUCGAAAUCUCAUGUUGCUUCUGCUUCAGCUCCAGGUCGUUCUUAAAAAUUAUUCCAGAAAGUUUAGCAGACUCAGCCCGCACCAUCUUUAGUUUUGCCUCUAGUUUAGCCUCCUUGGCGGACAGUCGUGUAAGACGACGUUUAGCAGUGUUGGUCUCUGCCAAUAUACGAUUCUCAUCAACUCGCAGAGUCUUCACAAAACCUUUUGCCUCCGUUAGCUGAACAUCCUUAGUUGAUUGGAGUAGAAAUGAGGAAUGUAUUUGAUUAUGGUUCUCGACACCUUGGAAGUAACCAUUCACAAGCUCCCUCAAAACAAUAAGGUUGUCGCUGCCGCUAGUCGCAAUCGCAUCAAAGAUCUUAUGCAUUUCUGGUUCAAGACUACUCAGUCGUUCAAAAGGGGUACGAAUGAUCUUCUGUCGUAGGUUUUCCCAUAAGGUUAUGGCAGCCUGUCGUCGGAGGUCAGAAAUUAAGCUGUCAGCACAAAAAUGAGAAAUCUCAGAAACUGUAAUAGGCUCCGUGCCUUCCACUUUUUGAGGAGGUCCCUUGAUCACAGGAGGACAAGCAGACACAAUAUUUGCGCCUAUAGGUUCCUUAGAGUUUCCAUUAUAAGAAAGUACAAUGUUACAGUCUUCUAGAUUCGGCAUCGACUCUAGGGUAUCUUCGAUGUGUAGGUCGUGAUCACCUAAAGAAGACUGCAAAAUAAUAUUAACAACAAGAAAUAAGAGGAGUAAAGGAGAGAAAAUACAAUAAAUAAAAAAAUAAAAAAGGGAGACGAAAAGAAACCAUGGGGGAAGGGACAUCGAAGAAUUGUGCAGCAUCAGGGACCCGAAUAGGAGACUCUUCAUCAUCGAUCGACUGUUUGUUGGGCUUCUUGGGUCUCUUCCAAUGGUGAUCAUCAUUGUUGCUUUGACUGUCCUCAAUACGUUUAGAAGGAUGCUUGGUAGCUAUCAAUAAGCGGUUGUCCUUACCCACAUUGUCAAUACCACCUUUAAUAAGAUGUUUAAAUCGUGUAGAAAGAGACAAAUUAUCCACCAAGCGUUUUGUCCCUCCCUCAAUUUUCUCCACAAGUCGUUCAUCAGUUUCAUCGAGCAUAUCUUCUGAUUUCCACUACCAAAAUUAUGUUCAAUCUUUUUUGUGGUUUUGGAUUUGAUGUGAGGGGGAGUAGGACGAUCUAUCAAAUGUUGUACUCCUUCUUGGAGGUAAUCACCGUGUUUUGCAAGCCACCAGACUUUAUAAUGAGAGGUAACAUGUGUGUCUGGAUUAGGGGCAGACACAGGAAGAUAUACUUGGGAAAGUGUAUUCUCGCGAAUACAAAUCAUCCAACAAUAUCGUACGUUAAAAAAAUUGGCUUCGGGAAUUUCUUCACCUAAGUCAUAUGGCACGUCUUGAUAAAAUCCAAAUUGUCGGCUAAAGCGACAAGGACUAUAAGGCUCAAUAACUGUGGAGGAUCCACAUUGCGAGGAUAGAAAACAAGAGCGAAUGCUUAUGAAAAAUGAAGCAUUCCAACUAUUUAACUCUCCAUCAUCCGUUAAGAGUUCGUCCUUAUUCUUUGUUGGAAGACACACAUGCCAUGACACAUACUUUCCCUUGUGGAUAUGUGUUCGAGCCUCAAGAUUAGUAUAAUAUUUGGCCCCACCUUCACCAGAAAAUUCAACCAUGCAAGGACCCCUAAGACUCCUAGGGGCUUUAUAAUGAGUGUUGAAGUAAAGAGCAAGCCACCCAUGGACAUAGUGAAGAGGAAAACAGGCAUUUGAAUAACCAAGUGAUGAAGUAGAAUCAUGAACUUGGCGUAGGCCACUAUAAAUAUUAGCUAAAACAGGGACGGCAAGGCUAAAUGUGUAGCCUUCCGCCAUGAGGCUAGCAACCUUAAAAACCUCCGGACGAAGGGAAAGUUGCUUAUCAGGGAACACAAACACACAUAGCCAACAAGAGAGAAAUGCCGCUAGAUAGGUUUUGUCCCUAUGAUCAUCAGUGACGCUUAAGUCAAGGAACACUUUGAGUUCAGCUUUAGACCAGUCAGGACGUCUGAUGGGAAUUCCAUCUGGAUUAUGAGUUGAGUGAGGGCGAGAAGUCUUUUUAGGCUUUCGAGGAGGCGGUUUCGAAUACUUUACCUCAGAUCGUGUAACCCAAAAAGAGAUCCAUUCACUUACAGUGAUUUGAGAGUGAUCCAUGCGUUGAGAAACAAUGCGGUAAUAGGCUGCAAAUAAAUGCUCACAACUUCUUGGACAUACAUCAGGUGAUCCUAUUAAGUCUUGGUGGCAAGGAAUGCUUUCUUCAUAAAAUCUACCUUUAAUCGGGAGUCCUCCUAGUAUCCAUAAGUCCCAUAAGGAGAUGGACAUCUCACCAGCUGAGGUGUGAAGAGUGUUUGUUGAAGGACACCAUGCCUCGCAGAAAGCCCGAUCAAUGUCACUGUUGCGAUCAUAUGUAUAUAGGGAAGCCAUCACAACAAUUAAAUAGGGAGGCUCGCUUGAGUACUGCCGUAUUUCUAGCAACAACGAGCUCUAACCACUCCCAAUAAUGAGGAAGAUAGUAAAAUUCUCCAUGUACCUUGAGCACAUUUCCCCAACGAAUUUUUGGGUCGUUUAUAAUUCGACGACCCAACGUUGAUUCUGGAUCCUCAUUUGGAGGCUUGUUGUGAAUCGAAGACUCCAGAAACCAAGAUUUUAAAGAUGAAUUGGGAUUUACAAACCGUUCCUUGGACCAUUUAGGCAAAAAGAUAAAAUUGUCCUCGGGUAUUUGGGAGUCCAUAAUAUUCUCAUAUGUCCCCUCUCUCACAGGAAGAAUGAUCCCUUCCUCUAAAGAUUGAUCUACGUCUUUCAGGAUAAUUAAACACCUUUUGGUCGAGUCAAAAUACUCAGUGAAGUGCACCAUGAUGAAAAGUAGAGUUCCUGCAAAAUAAUAAUAAUAAGAAGAAGAAUAAGAAAUAGAAAAAAAACCAAAACAAAAAAAAAAAAAAAAAAAAAAAAAAAAAAAGAAAGAAAUAAGAAAGAAAUAAGAAAAAAAAAAAGAGGGGGGGGGAAGAAAAAGCAAAUGAAGAUUGAAGCCCGACGAUGACAGAAUCGAUCUCUCCUACUAGGGCGAUAGAUCUGACGGCAAAAGCCCGAUCGUUCCUAGAAGAAGCUCAACAAAGUCAUUUCUGCAAACGAAGAUCGAAGCCCGACGAUGACAGAGUCGAUCUCUCCUACUAGGGCGAUAGAUCUGACGGCAAAAGCCCGAUCGUCCCUAGAAGAAGCUCAACAAAGUCAUUUCUGCAAACGAAGAUUGAAGCCCGACGAUGACAGAGUCGAUCUCUCCUACUAGGGCGAUAGAUCUGACGGCAAAAGCCCGAUCGUCCCUAGAAGAAGCUCAACAAAGUCAUUUCUGCAAACGAAGAUCGAAGCCCGACGAUGACAGAGUCGAUCUCUCCUACUAGGGCGAUAGAUCUGACGGCAAAAGCCCGAUCGUUCCUAGAAGAAGCUCAACAAAGUCAUUUCUGCAAACGAAGAUCGAAGCCCGACGAUGACAGAGUCGAUCUCUCCUACUAGGGCGAUAGAUCUGACGGAAAAAGCCCGAUCGUCCCUAGAAGAAGCUCAACAAAGUCAUUUCUGCAAACGAAGAUCGAAGCCCGACGAUGACAGAGUCGAUCUCUCCUACUAGGGCGAUAGAUCUGACGGCAAAAGCCCGAUCGUCCCUAGAAGAAGCUCAACAAAGUCAUUUCUGCAAACGUUUUGUUGGAUAUUUAUAUAAAGAAAAGAUAAUCCAAUUAUCUUAUUUUAUUUUAAAUUAUUAUUAUUUUUUUGUUGGAUAAAUCUCAAGUUUAACUUUUAUUGAGAUAUUUAAAAUAUUUAAAAAUCUCAACAUUUAAAAAUAUAUAUAUAUAGAUAAAUAUUCUCAAUUUCAAAAUUCAAGUUAAAUUAACUUGCAUAUAUGACCUCCUUUUUAUCAUGAAUUUAAAUCGGAGCCAUAAAUCCAACUUUACCUAAGAUUGAGGACCUGAUUUUUUAUCUCAAAUUAAAAUUGGUCAUUCCAAAUUCUUAUGUAUCCCCAAGAUGAAUUAAGGUAGGGUAGAAACUUUAUCCUUAUUUCAAAAUUAAAAUUUUGGUUAUAUUCCAAAUUUUACUUAAAAAAAAUCAUCAUAUUAAAUUUUUUUUAUCCUCAAAUAAAAUUAAGUUAGGAAUAAAACUUUGAAUUUUUGUAAGGUUUGGCCAUAUUCCAACCCUUUUUAAAUUUAAAUCAAACUCACGUACUAAAUUCAUAGUUUGAUUAAUUUGAUAUAUUGAAUUGAGUAAAAAAAAAAAAAGAAGCUCGUACUUUGACUUCAAAUUUAUCUUUUCCGAGAUUCAUUCACCUAUAUACGUGCAUAAAUCUCGAAAAGGGGGCAUUUGUUGAAUAAGAAAUUUUGAGAUCAAUCACAAGUUGCCACAUCAUUUAUUAAGUUAAUGAUGAAAAGUACAAAUAAUUAAAUUUGGGACUAAUUAAAAUUGACAUAUGCUCCAAAUUAAAGAGUUAAAAAUAAAUAAAAUGGUCAUUCUAAUAUGCCACAUGUUUUCAUAUUAAUAGUUGGAUUAAGUUAAUCAUUUUAGUUCAAUUAAAUAUUAUUUACUUGGACUAAGUUCAAUUAAGCCCAAAAAAUAAGCUUAAUUGAGCCCAAAGACUAAAUAUAACCUAAGUCCAUAUGGUUGAGCCCAUGGGUCUGGUCCAUUGGACCAACUAGGUUCAAACUCAUAAAGCCCACCAGUGAACUCUAUAAAUAGAGGAAUUCUCCUCAUUUGUAGGGGUUGGAAAAUUUUGACUCUAGAAGAUCCAUAGAGAAUUCUUCAAAGAGCUAGAAGACUCCCUAACUCCUGAAGUCGACCAUCCUCGAAGAUUGAAGCUUCUUUAAAGAUACAAGCUUUCUUCCAAGGCUUCAACUUCAAGAACAUCACGUGCUUCGCUUCCUCCAAAUCAAGCUGAAGCAUCCAGUUGAGAGAGAAUCAGAGGAUCAAAUUCUAGAGAUUGAACCGCAUCGCAUCAAAUCAACAAAAAUACAACAUCAACUCCAAGUUCAAGUCCACGAAUUAAAUUUCUCCGGAAAUCUCGUGCGAACAAUUACCAUAAGAAGAAAACUACAUCUUCAUUUUCCAUUUUUAUGUUUGUGGUUUUACUCUCAUACUCUUGAGGUAAACAGAAAAUAUGACAUUUAAUGGGACUCCAAUUUUAUUUCAAUGUAGAGUGGAUACCAUAUUUCUAAAACUCUCCUUUUUAAGUCGAGUGUACCACAAAAUACUUCUUUAUAUUUUGGUAACUCCAUUGUUUUCUAUUUUAUUUGUCUUAUGUAAUUUGAUUUUAAUUAAUUCUUUUUAAUUUUCUUUUAAAUAAUUAAGUAUGAAAACUGACAAUGGAAAAAGAAGUUUUAAAAAAUAUAUUUUUGUUCUUUUUUAAAAAUACAAAAUCACUUACUAAACAUAUAUUACUUUUGUUUUAAUAAGCAAAAACUCAACAAAAGAAAUUUUUUUUUUAAAUAGUUACCAAAUGGAACUUUUGUUUUUUGGUUUUUGAAAACAUUAGUAAAACGUAGAUAGCAAUAGAAAUGAGUUUGGAGAUGAAAAUUAUUAUUAUAGAGGCUUUAUUUCAAAAUACAUACGUUUUUUAAUAACUAUUUGUUUUUCGUUUUAUUACUUAAAAUUUAAAUUGAGUUUAUAAACACUUAUCCCACCUCUAAAAUAUUUCUUGCUUCAAUGUUUAUUUUUUGCUGAUGUGACCAAAAACAAUGUCAAAAUUUAAAAAUAAUAAAAUAAAAUAGUUUUAAAUUUUUUCUACAAAUUUAACUUUUGUACUUAAAAAAGAUUAAAAAAAAAAAAAACAUUGUAAAAUCUUUAUAGCAAAUAUUUCGUUAUUUUUAAUUAAGCGGGGAUAGCUCAGUUGGGAGAGCGUCAGACUGAAGAUCUGAAGGUCACGUGUUCGAUCCACGUUCACCGCAUAGUUUUUAAAUAUAUAUAAUUUUCAAAUUUUUCGGCUACUUGCUACAUGAGAAGUUAGACAAUAAAAGUUAUUGUCUGUAUUUCUUUUAAUGAUUUGUGUACAAGGAAUCGAAUGUACUCUCGUGAAUUGUCUAUGAAUGAAGUUCUCUUUUUGUUUCAUUAAAGUAUGAAUUAUGUGUUUAACUCUGUGUUGUAAGAAGUUGUUCUACGUACUACGCGUUCAACAUAUCAUCUCAUAGGAGGUAUAUAUUCAUGUUGAAUUAGUAUUUGAUUAUUUUUUAGUAGCGAAACUUAUGUGCAUUCUAAGCACGAAUGAUUGUUUGGAUGCAUCGUUAGGUUGUGCAUAACCAAAUUAGUUUUGUUUUUUAAAUUAAUGUCAGUAUAAGUAAAAAUGUUAGUAGCCAACAUGAGUGCAACUCAUCUGACACCUUUAUGUACUAAGUAAGCUAAGUUAGAUGGUGGGAAAAAUAGCUUCCCUUUUUAGUAAGAGUUGCAUAAUUUUUGUUUUCUAAUUUGUUAGCAAUUUUUCAAAAGACGUUUGGUUGCUACGACUCUUAUGAAAAUAACAACUUUGUCUUUGAACUUUAGUCGGUAGUGAUUUUAGUCUAUGUAUUUUAUAUUUUGUAACAAUUUAUGUUUCAAAAUUUAGUAAGUAACAAUUAGUUCCUACACUUUGAAAUUUUUAAUAUAUAUAUAUAUUAACAACAAGAUAAGGAUUGGGAUCAAGAAAAACAUCCAAUCAUCGCGACUAGGUUGAAACAAUUGAGCACCUGCCAUACCCAAACCCACAUAAAGGAAAUUCAUUGCCACAAAAAAGAAUUCGUACUAAGAAGGAGAGGCUAGAGGAAAGUCUUCCAAGGAUAAGCAACGAUCUUGAGAUAAACUAGCUAUUACAAAUAAAAGAAAAUAGGUCUCCAACGAGUAGCAAAACAUAAAAGUCAUCAUGCAAAGUCAAACUACUCUUAAGCAAAUGGAAAGAAAUAUUACAAGUAGACCAAUCAAACCAAAGAGUACUUAAAAAACUAGCAUCCUCGUAUAUAAAAUUUAAAUGUAAGUUUUUUAUCAUUUAACGAAUUCAUCUUUAUCGUUUAUUAAAAAGAUUAUUCUCGAUCAAUUUAUAAAAAAAUCAUGUAUUAGAAAGUUUAUUAUAUUUUAAUAAUAUUAAAUUUUAAAACAAAAUUGGUACUGAUAUAAAUAUAUAUCAUAUUCAUGGUUAUUUUCAUAAAAUUGUUGCUAUUUGGCACUCCAUGAAAGUUGAAGGAAAAGUUUUGUUUGAACUGUUUUUUCUUUUUCAUUGGCACUCAAAAUGACAGUUGAGAAGUAAAAAUGAAAAUUUAGACUCACGAUAUAACAUAAUAAACAUUUUAAUUUGUUUAAAAUUAUAAAAUAUAAAUGUUUAAAAUUAUAAAAUAUUUAGAGUUGUUUUCAAAUAUAAAAAGACUCUUUAAAAUAUUUAUAAAUAUAAUAAAGUUGUACUUUCCAUCACGAAAAGAUUCAAAAUAAACAUAAAUUCAACAUCUAUUUAUGUUGUAUUAAUAGAAUGUUGUUUUGUAAAUACCUAGUCAGUUCAAAUUUUUUUAAAAAAAUUGAGUUGUAUUAAUAGAAUGUUGUUUUGGUUUUAAUUUGGCGUACAAAUUUCUUUUAAUUUUUUCAUUAAUUAUAUUCUAUUAUUAUAUAUAAACAAAUCUCCAAGUGGUAAGGAUUUUAAUUCAUACAAAAUCUUUAUUCUUUUCAAAAGAUUUUAGAAGAUUUCGUUCUUUUAGAAGUUCUGAAAGAUUUUGUUUUCCUUGAAAGUUAGGAUUUCAGAAGAUUUUAAUCCAUAUACGUGGAAGUCAAGAGUCCCAGUUGAUACUUUUUAACAUAUCAUUUUGCAUUGACGUGUUUGUUGUGUGUUGUUGAACACCUUGUUAUUAAUAUUGCCAUUCGCACGUUGAAGGUUAUUUUGAGUAGUUUCUCUCAAAGUAAGGGUGAGGUUAAAAUAUGGAUUGGGUUUGAGUUCAAAAAAUUGAUUUUUUUGGAUUGGAUUGGGUCUCAGGUCUCGGAUUGAAAAAUUCGGUUCAACCCAACCCAACACAACCCAAAUUAAUAUAAUAUAUAUAUUAUUUAAUAAAAAACAAAUUAGGUAUAUAAACUUUGAAUUUAUUAUUGUAUAAAAUUUUGAAUUAUGUAUGUUUGAAAUUUAAACGUAACAAUUUUGAACUUUUUAUAACCAUUAGAAACUAUAAACGAACAAAAACAAAAAGUAUACAAUCCUAAACCCAAUCCAACUCAACCCAUAUUUUACUGGUUGGGUUGGGUUAGAAACUAAAUUCGAAUUAUUCGGGUUGCCAACUCGAAUAACUCGAAAAUAUGGAUUGGGUUUGAGAAUGUCUCCCAACCCAAUCCAAUUUCACCCGUACUCUCAAGGGGAGCUUGGACAUUGAGAUGUAAAGGUGAAGCGUGAAUAUCAAAUGGGAGCUUAGAUCAAAUCCCUUGUUCACACAUAAGUGAUUUAGGAAGAGCCUUAAACAUUUAUCUUGUGAAAGUAGUGUAAUACACGAUAUUUAAUUCUUCAUAAGUUAUGUACUAGUUAUAAACCUCUAGAAUCUGAGUAUUUUUCAAUUUAAGUUAAGACUCCCUCAAACGUAGGUAUGAUUGCACCAAAUUGGAUUACCAACUUGAUUGUGUGAUGUUUUAUUCCUGCCGUUUAUAUGUUAUUUAAUUUGAAAAUAGCGCGCUUUGGUGCAAACAUAACUCUCUGAGUUAAUACUGUGUUUUUCAAAUGUACUUUGGUGCAUAGACGUCAUCUCAAUAAAAUUUAAAUUUUCUUUUAUUAGAGAACAAACAAGCUAUUAAUAGUUAAAUUUAUAAACAGAGAACUUCAAAAUUAAAGUAAGGGAGUUCUAUUACAAUUAAAAUCCAUUUACUAAUAUAUCUAUAUUGAUGACUGUUUAUACAUAGCAACACAGCUUGUUAAAAGUAAAAUAUAAGAUCUGAAGUUCAAAGUAUAGAAAAGUGGAAAAAGCAAGAAACCAACAGAUGCACCACAAAUAUAUAAGGAAAAUUGAAAAAAUGUCAACCUAUAGAAUGUAUCAAAAGAAGAAGGAGAAAAAGAGAUAUAUUUAACAUAUAUACUUCUGUGGUUGCAAAAAGAAAAACAUGUUGUUACCAAAUAAAAGAGAUGAAAGAUAUCAAAAUGAAACCAAGAAAACCAAAUAUUAAGAGAGAGAGAUAUAAUUGGUAAACCCAAAUGUAAAAUUAGUCAUGGGUCCAAGUAAUUAAUUCCCAUUAAUUUCAUUUCAGUAACUUAACAAACAAUAUUCAAUAUAUAUCUCCAAAAUUUUCAUUCCCAUGCAAAAGAGUGAAACAAGAUAAUGCAACUUUUACCACAUAAUUAAAAGCAAAUGGGGAAAGUAUAUGUAAUCAAUUUAUAUUCUAUUACCAUAUACGAUUCUAUUAAAACUAGUAAAAGUUGUUCUGCACCAUUAUCACCUUCAUUUUCUUAAAAUAAUGCUCAUUUUUGCUUACAAUCCAACCAAGCUACAAUUUUUGUACUAACAAAAUUUAAUAAGUUUUCUUCUACAGAAAAAAAACAUCAUAUUAUUAAUCUUAUAGUUCGUCAUGUAUUGUCCUCAAUGUCAACCUAGUUGAGAAGACUUGGUGCCCGAUCAAGUAUCUUUUCUAAGAACGUUUGACUCUUUUUCCUUUAGGACUAUUGUGAUCCAAAAAAAACGAAAAGAAAAGAAAAAACUAAUAAUUUUUUUUUUUGGUCUUUUUCAACUUUAAACUUGCUAAUUCUAUGUUUGAAGAACAAAGUUAAAAAAUGAAGGUACUUAAGGAGGAUAGCCUGUGAACUAUUACUAUAGCUAGGUUACAACACUCAAUAUCAUUAAUUAGCUACACUUAUACCUUAAGCAUAAUUAGUCUUGCAACAACAAUCCAAGAAUUGUAUUUUUCAAUGACCAAAUUAAACAAAGAUAUAUGACAAAAUUAUUGCCUAGUUAGUCUAUAUCCUCUCCUUUAUAAGAACCUCCACAUUUCAUAAUUAUUCUCACACAUCCUAAACAAAGCAUUCUCUCAAUCUCUAAAUUUCCUCAUUUUUCUACAAACAAUGGAGAACAAGGGUAUGAGCACCUCCAUAAUGAAGAUAUCACUUACAUUAUUCCUAGUAAGCAUGGCCAUUUUGGCACCAUCAGCCACGGCUCGGAUGGAGGCAGCAGCACCUAGUCCAUUAGCACUAGAAGAUCUAUCUUUCUCUAACUGCACACCAUUUAUUUUAGAGGCAACAAUGUGUGUAGUAGGCGUGAUAAAAUUCCCGGUUGCUCCUCAUCCUUCGUGUUGCAAAGCUAUUUCUGAUCUCGACGAUUGUUCUCCGGAAACUUACGAACAUAUUCCUGGCAUGGACAUUAUUAAAAAAAUUUGUAGUCUGUGAAGCACUUUCUAUCUUGACAAUCAAAAGAUUCUUCAAGCAAAUUGAACCAUUUUGAAUAAGAAAGUUAUGUUUAUGUGAUUGUGAGUUUUCUUUUUUCCUACAGUACUAUUACAGUACCAUCUAUAAAACUUAAUAAAACAUACAUCUUUAACAAGAUUUAGAGUGUACUUGAAAAUCUCUGCAUAAUCAACAACACUAAAAUCUUCAUAGCCAAUUUAGUUUUAGUACUACAUACACAAAAGAUUUAAGAAACAGAAUUAUAGUCUAUGCAUAACAAUCUAAACUUUCUUACAAGUUUCCAGAUUUCCAGAUUUUCUGUUUUCUAGCAAUAGAGAAAAAAAAGAGUCAAACCAUUUGUUUUCAGGAUUUGUAGAGCAUCAAACUGAUAGAACUAAGUCAUGCACAGCGGAAAAAGAAUCGAAUUUCUACCCUAAUUGCCACAAUUAACAUGUAACCAUAAACUAAUCAAAUUAGGGUUUUAAGAAGUAUUACCUUUGAAGCUUUCAAAAGGUUUGAUGUCUUCUUACCAAUUCUACCCGAGACCACCACUAGUACUCAACUGCUAUCCUCUAGACAAAGAACCGGGUUGUGGGACCCAAUUUUGAUGUAGAAAGUAAUGGAGAUAAAAUGAGAUUGGAAGCUUUCUUUUUUCUUUUGUUGAGAUGAUGAAAAUGAUAAAAGAGGCAAAAGUCCUUCAACAUUUGAAAACAUCUCUAUUUAUAGCCUAAUUACAUGCAAAAAUGCAUGCAAUUCAAUUGCCAAAUCUCAACACCUAAUAUUCCACUAACAAUUAGUGGAACUUAGUGGGCUAGGUGUCUAUAUCUCAUAUAGCCACAUAUCCCACUAAGAGUUAGUGGGAUUAUCCAACAAAAUGUUGGAUUUUCCCACUAACUUAGUCCAAGGGUAAAAUGGUCAUUAGAUUUUUCUAGUCAAAAGUCAAACUUUGACUUUUCUAAGUCAAAAGUCAAUAUUUUGACUUUUUACCAUUUUGUCCGUCUUGACUAAUUCCAACCUCCCGAGCAUGAAUCCGCAUUCAUUUUUCCAAAAUUCAAAUCACAUUUGAAUAUAAGGCCGGUCAAAGUUUGACUUUUCAAAGUCAAAAGUCAACAUUUUGACUUUUUACUAUUUUUGACCAAUUCCGAGCUUCUUAGUAUGAAUCCGCAUUCAUACUUAUAGUAUGUAAAACAUAAAGCUCUAUUUCUAAUUAGAAGACCGACGAUUAUAUCACUGUAUAUGUCGGUUUUCCUUUCUUCUCCCUAUUCGAACAAUUCGACUUAUUUCAUCACACUGUUCUAAGUUUAAUCCAUAUGAGCUAGCAGAGGAACCUAAUGGACCUAUAGAUCAUGGGCUCCAACGAUUCAAGAUUAACUAGCUAAACUCUUUUAAACCGAGUUAAUCAACAUUCGUUAACUAACGGGUCAUUCCACUAAAGUCCCGUAGUUGCACUCCCCUCACUAUAGAUAUAUUUGUGUCCAUUUGAUAAAACCAUAAUCAGUAAGUUAAUCCUUCACAGGUUGCUCGUAACCUUGGCUGGGUUAAAAUACCGUUUUACCCCCAAGAUUACAUCUUGCUCCUUAAGUCCCACUAAUCCACUAUUGAACAAUUGGUUUAAGGUUCAACCUAUAAACUUAAUCCCUCUCAGGCCAAUGAGAGGGUGGGGCCCCUUGUUCAAGACUUGGAUUCAGUGCUUAAGAGAGCAACCUAUCUACUAACCCUAAAGCGGGUAGGAGUGAAUUCCAUCUUGUACCCUAUGUUCCCAGCUAUCCACCCGAUCUUACCCCUGAAAUGGGAGGCUUAUUGGGCCAACGCUGAUGAGCUGCCCUCACCUAUGCAGAUCUAAGGAUAAUCUCGUAUGAACAGGAGUUCAUAGUUAACUCAGGAUUAAGACUAAGUUACCUAGGUCAUCAAUAAUUGAGAUAGUCAGUUUUAAACAGUAAACGGUGUUAUAACGUAAAAAUGACUAUUUCAUGGUUCAGUCUUAUGUAAACAUUUUACAUAGGAUGCCCCCACUUUCAUGUCUCUACAUGAACGAUUAGGAUCACCUCGUUUGUACUACAAAGUGGGCCGCAUCCAUAGUUUCUCUAAAUAAGGCGCCCAACCUUUAUUUCAUAUACUAUAGACUAUUUAGGCUAUAUACUCGAACUUGAUCCACGUUUAUGUUUACACAUAAAGUUCAAGUUUAUUAAAAAAAUAGCCUUGGAACUUGAUUUAUUGGAUUUAAGAUUAUAAUAUUUAAUUUCUCAAUAACAACUUUAUUGAACAGAAUAUGAUUUACAAACUACGAGUUUUAGGACAAAAAUUCCAACACAAACAACAAAAGACAUUAAACAUAAUCAAAUAACUCCCAACUAGGUUAGUAAAUUAGCUAUAGAAAAGCAACAUAGAUUCUUAUCAUCUCAAAAAUCUUCAUAAAACAUACAUCUUCAACAACAGAUCUACAAAUACUAUAUCAAAACCACACAAAAUACAACAACAGUAAACAAAGUCUUCAGAUCUAAAAUUUUACCAAGUCUUUCAAAAGUCAACACUUCCAUAAAGCAAGCGAAUCACAUAAAGAAUCACAAAUGAAGAUCAAAACCGAAUAAACCUGAUUAUCUUCUCUCAUGUGGACACGUGUGUAAGUUUCCACAAGAAUAUUUCCCUUCCACACAAACAAAGUAAAUCAUGUUUUACUCAAAUCAUCAGUUACAUAGUUAUGAGCGUAUAGAAAGGAUAAACCAACUUCGUCUUGAGGUAAGAUAAAUGUGUGAAUAACAUACCUGGCCUAGGAGGAUAUCAUACAUGAUGAAAAAAGAAGUUAACAAAGGCAAUUUAGAGAAAGGAGGAAAACAUACAUGUUGACAAGAAAAUUUAGGUUUAAGAUAGUUAUGAGGUAUAGAAAAGAUAAACCAUCGCCGUCUUUGGUAUAAUUAGUUUUAUGUUGCACCAUGAAAAAGAAGUUAACAAACGCAAUAUUAGAGAGAUAUAUCUAAUAUAAGUAAGCAUAAAAGCAACAUAAUUUAUAUAAUUCAACACCUUGAUAAAGAAGGAAACAUCAAACCUAUCUCUAUACAAAUGAAAACCAAUAUAUAUAUACUUAGAACCGAAGAAAUAUAAAAACAAUUAGAGAGAUCUCACACUUACUUGAAAAAAUUUCGGAAACUCACAUUUUCAUGUUAACAUGGUUCUCAAUCUAGCUCAAAGUGUUUGUAUGAGUUUGAUAUCAAACCAAGGCAACAAAUAUAACCGUUCUAGAUGCAAGAACUUUAAGUACAACACAUAAUAUUUUUUAAAAAGAGCUAAAGGUAAUUCACAUCAUAAAGUAACCUUGUUUCUUUGUUUCUCAACCUAGCUCAAAGUGUUUGUAUAAUUUGAUAUCAAACCAAGGCAACAAAUAUAAAGUUCUAAAUGCAAGAACUUUAAAUACAACACAUAAUAUUUUAAAAAAUAGCUAGUAGAUUAGUUUCAGUUGGGAACAAAAGGUGGAUUUUAGUUUAGACUUACGUGAGAAUUAGUGUUGAAAAAGAUUGUUGUACUACCUUAUUAGUAGAUGAGUAACACCUUGGAAAUGCAUCAAAAAUACUACAAAAUUAUUUAAAUUAGUAGUUAAGAUGCAGAAAAUAUUAUGAAAUGUUGGAAAUAUUGUGACUUUUAAAGAACUAGACAUUUUUAAACAAAAGGAGAGCUCAUAUAUAUUUUCUUUAUAAUUUAGCCAUAAGGUAUAGAAUGAAAAGUAUUUUAUAACUAGCUGAGAUGAGACCAAAUUCAUUUUGCUUUGGUUCAUAUUAAUCACAUCAUAGCUACCAUUUACAACAUUCUAUCUUCACAAACUCAAUUCUCCCUCUUAAACCAUUGAAACACUUUACCCAAUUGAAUUCUAAGUAAAUCUCACUCUCUAUCGAACACUUUAACUUUGCUAAAUUGAAUUCCACUUUCAUUAUAACCAAACACUUUACAAGCAACAAUAAAGACUACAACAAGGAAAGAAAGCGAAGAAAAAAGGAAAAAAAAACUUGAACAAACCUAGCCGACGGAAAAGAGGGCUUUUCCGUGGUCAUAGGUCGUCGGUCGAAUUAGUCGUGGGUUGUCGUUGAUGUGUGCUCGACCGGUGGAGGGGGAAAAGAUUGGGAUUGGAGUUUUUGGAAAGGGUUUUCGUGAAGAUGGUAAAGAGAAGGGAUAAAUAAAAAGGAAGAUGUAGUUAAUAAAUUCUUUAAUGAAAAGUUGAAGGAAAUUGGAAAAUUUGAAAAACAUUUAAGUUUGUUGCUAAAAUUAUUUAAUUUUUAGUGACAUUAUUGUUGUGUGUUACUAAUUCUUUUAGUGACGUGGAUUAAAAAUGUGUCGUUAAUAAUAAUCUUUUGUGACAAAUUUUUUUGCGUCACUGUAUACGAAUUUUAACCGCCAAAAAUUACUUGCACCACUAAAACUUUGUCACUGAAAAAUAAAUUUCUUGUAGUGAAACACCGACAUUGUUUUUUUAAAUAAGUUACUAUGGACCGUUUGGUGCACCUAAACAUCUUCACUAGGUGGACACCUCCAACUCUUGUCAAUUAUUAAGUAGUUUAUAAUGAUUAACAUCAUAAUUGUCAUGUGAUUACCUUAAAUUUUUUGUCAAGUGGUAAAUAUUUUUUACUACAUUAUGAUCAUUAUCAUUUAUGUAGCUUACAAUUUUUUUUCGCCAAUUACUAAUAGUUUCUAAUUACCAUCCAUUCUUGUAAUCUACAUAACACAUUGUCGAUCAUCCCAUUGCCACUAUGAAAAAUGACCAUAGUAACCUUAAUCACGGCAAUAGAAUACUGAGAUAGCUAUUUGACUACUGUUUGAUUGUCUUUUGGAUACUUUCUAAUUGACAUUUUAUUACUCUUUUUUAUCAUUGUAAUUUUUUAUAUUGUUUGAUUACCUUCUAAUGGUCACUUCCAUAGUUUUUUUUACACAUUUGAUUGCUUUUUUGUUCGUAAUAAUUUUUUGUCAUAGUAAUAAAAUAUUAAUUAGAUACCAAUCACACAAUAAACAUAAAUUACUAAAUAUCUAAUAAAAUCUCACAUAAAAAAUAUUAUUCUUUUACUUUGGUAGUAUAUUUACAUUCUAAAUUUCAUGUUUUUAUUUUACUGAUUUUUGUAACAACUAGCUAACUUAAAAGUAUUGAAAUUAAUGAAAGUAUGUUUUACAAUUUAAUCACAAAUAUUAUAGAUAUCGUAAACUUUGCUAUUCCAAUUAAAAGUAAAAGCAAAAAAAAAAGAAAAAUGGGAAGAAGAGAAUUUUUAAUAAUGGAUUGAACAAAGAAAGAUUGUUCCAAACAUAAAUCACUCCCCAUUCUAAACUUAUAAAUAGAAAAUAAAACAACGAUCUAUCACUAACUAACAACAUUAUUCUUAGUCAUCAAAUCGCCAAUAAACCCUAAGAGAAACUUUUACUACUCUAAGCACAUAAAACAUCUCACAAUGCACAAAUGUUCUUAACCACAUCCAUGUCCGCAGAAGGAAUCGUUUGGAAAAUUACAGGAGCACAGUCAUUGAGCUUAAAAAUGGCUUUGCAACAAAAGGGAUGAGGAGCAAUUGGAAACUUGAAUACAUCGACCAAACACAGUGUCGCAUCCAAAAUAAACGGAGUACAACUGAAGAAGGAGAGAUCUUGCGAGAUUGAUGGAUCAAGUGUUGUAGACGACACCGUCGUGCGGCCGGCCGUCGCGGAUGCUGCUAAAAUGGCUAUGGAGACAAUGAAUACUAAGGCUAACUUCAUUGGGGAUGCUUUCAGUGACUUCACUGCCAUUGUUUAGUUUAGAUGAGUUGUUGUUGAGGUCAAGAGAAGGGGAAAAGGCUCUACUUUGUUUGGGUGAGUAAGUUUGUGAUUAGUGAAGGUUCUUAUAUUAAGGUAGAUAUGGACUUCCUAUAUAUGGCAAUAGACAAAAUUAUGGGAAUUGUUUUUUCUCUUCAUAUGUUAAUAAUUAUAUAUAUAAUUUUAAUUCUAAUGUGUAAUGAUUAUUGUAUGCAAUAAAAGGAAAGUAACAUUUAUUUUUUUAUUUAGUACAAGAAAUGUAACUGUUAAAUUAUAUUUAUGGAUUAUUGUAUGCAAUAAUAUGAUGUUUUAUAUAACUCGAAAAUAUAUUAUGGGACUCAUUCAUUUAUUUUAGGGCCAAACAAUAUUCCUUUGCUAUCUAAUUUUAAGCUAAGGUUGGUUUAGGUUUAAAAACUUACUCUCAUAAUUAUCUUUGAUUUUGAUGACUUUUAAUUUCUACUAUGCUCCUCGGUAUUCAAUGUAUUGCACUGAUUUUGCUCCUUGAUUUUGGAGUUUUGAUUUCAUUAUAUCUAUUUACAUUUUUCUAUUUAUUAUAUUUCAAUAAAUAUUAGGGAUCGAUUUUAGCCUAUUCAAGAUAAGAAGAGAUUCACAGUUGGUGAUGGUUUGAGAAAAUCCAAACUAACAACAUUAGUUUUUUUAAAAAAAAAAUCGAAAGCUUAAACGGACCUAAAUUAUUGAUCCAUCAACAAGGAGUAAUCUGUUUAUAUUUUUUUCAUAGUUGAGGUCGGUUUGAAGAUGUACUAAACUGACCAAGUUGGUUGAUAGUAAUUUUGUCAAAAAAUCGACUCUAAAUGACUGAUUCUCACGACUUGUUUUCACUGACUUUCAUCAACUAUUAAAAUUAUUUAAAAAAUUUACAUCCUAAUAUAUUAGGUUAAUGUUGAAUACUAGAGGGAAAAAAGUGUAAAAUAUGGAGGAACCAAAUCAAAAUUAAACUCAAAGGUUGAUGGUAAAAAUGUGAUAAUAUUUAAUUUGAAACCCUAGUGAUCAAAUGAAAAUUAAAAUAGAACUUCGUUAGGUGCGAUUAUGUCCCAACUUCAAAUGGUUGGAGUAAUUAACUAUAUUAUAAUCAACUUCACGUUUGAUUCUUAUUAUAUAAAUUAUAAUAAUAGUCAAUGUUUUUCACUAUUAUAACAUAUAAUUAACUAACUAUAAAUUAAUUAAUAUAAUGUUAUUAUUUCAAAUCUGUGUUGAUUACAAUAUUUACUGUAAUGUUUAUUAUUUUGUAUUCAUUAUCUCUUUUUGUGUGUUCACGUUUACUACCUUUUAUAUGUAUUCUAAAUAUAACAACUAUAUCUCAAACUAAAAUAAUUUCUACUUCCACAACAUAUUUGUUAUAAUUACUCACAAUGUUGUAAUUUACAAUAAUAACUAAUUCAACUUUUCAACACUCACUUCAAUAAAAAUAUAUUUUUGAAAUUUGAAGACUUGAAAGGAGAAUCAAAACUUAAGGUUACAACUGAAGGGAUUCAAAUUCUAUUAUAUAUAUAUAUGGACAUUUUUCUCUAAAUCGACUCUAAAUGACUGAUUCUCACGACUUGUUUUCACUGAUUUUCACCUACUAUUAUAAUUAUUUAAAAAAUUUACAUCCUAAUAUAUUACGUUAAUGUUGAACACUAGAGGGAAAAAAAGUGUAAAAUAUGGAGGAACCAAACCAAAAUUACACUCAAAGGUGAUGGUAAAAAUUUGAUAAUAUUUUAAUUUAUUUUGUUAUUUUUAAAGAUGCCCUUAUGUAUUUAUUUAGUUAAUAUUAAAUUAUCAAUAAUUAGUUCAUUAAAAUAAAGACAAUUUUUUAAUAUUGUAAUUUAUUGAUAUUCUAAUUUCAAAUAUUAAGUAUCCAAGAAAAUAACAUAUAAUUAUAUAAACACAUGGUUACGUUUUUUCUCUAAUGAACCUAAUACGUCUGAAUCCAAAAUACAUAUAAUUUUCUAAUAUGAAGUUAGAAUGUUAGAUGCACCGCCAUUUUGCCACGAACCCUUUGUUGUAAUUGACAUAAAAACACAUGGUAGAUCAUAGUGCAAUUACUACUCAAAGAAUUUUAGUCAGAUUUAUAUGUAAAACUAACUGAGGUGUUCAUGUUGGGACAAAUUAACCAAAUAUAUUAAUAAAAAUAAUAAGUAAUAAGACUACAAAAACUUACAACAAUACACUAUGAUCGCCUAUACUUAUUCCACGUUGAACCCAAAUUUUAGUAACUCCAAAGUUGAAAGUUAAUAUAAAAUGAAUUACAGUUUUCAAUGGCUACCAAACGUUUCCAAACUUUUUAUAUGUGACCAUCUAUAUAUAUCCAACCUCUACUCCCUAGUUUUCUCCCACAAACCAAAUAGAGCUAUUCCUUUUGAGUGUAAGAAUCUCAUUCAAUCCUUCCAUUGACUUUCGUACUCAAUUUUUCUAAGAGUAAGGGCAGCGUCAUUCACGAAGUUGCUACUUGCAUUUCUUUUCUGCAUGUUCAUUUUGACAUGCAUAGUUACCAUUAAACUGUCUACAAAUAUUGAAUAUUAAUUGGGGUUUAUACAUAUUAUAUAAAGACAAUAACGUUGAGGGCGGCCCGAGCCCCCAUGGGCCUAUACUAAAUUCGUCGGUGCCUGCAAAUCAUUUAUUCCUAAGGCCACAUAAUGUGUGAUUGAAGUCGCUCCUCAUCCUUCUUGUUGCCAAGCGAUUUAUGAACUCCGUGAUUGUUCAUAUCCCAGUUUCUCAAAGACAUUUCUUCCAUUGAUAUGGUUUUGGUUGAGAGUGUUUGUGCUUUGUGGGGUGUUUCAAUUUCUUAGACUAAAAUUGUACUUUUGAGUUAAUUUGCUGAUCAAAAUGAAUAAGAAAGUUAUCCAUUUGAUGAUGAAUAGUUUUUUCCUGUUUUUUUCCCGAACUUAGGCAGAAAUAAAGAGACAGGGAGUUCGAAAAAUAAAUACAGUUCAAUUCAUCAUGAAUUAAAUGGAUAGAACUAUUUAAUUAAGGUUCAAAAUUACUAAUUUAUAUGAACUAAAUGGGUAGAAGUCUAUUUCCGAUUAAGAUUUAAUAAGAACCCUAAAUAGUUUAUAAGGAGACUCAUGGUUAUGGUAUCCAAUUUAUCAAAACUCAUUCUUAUAUACAUCAAGAGAAAAAUACCAAUAAAAGCUCUUAGAAUUUUGGUUGGGAAAAAUAAUAGUCAGCCAAUAACCCAUCAUCGAGAAUUUGGUAUGGAAACAUUUUGACAUGAAUGAAUUUGGUAUGGAAACAUUUUGACAUGAAUGAUUUUUGGACUUAAUCUAUUAUAUAGAUUUAGAGUAUUUAUAUUUCAUGUUUGGUAUAGUGUAAAACAAAAAGGAAAAUAAAAUCACAUAAAACAACUACAACGAAGUUGUCAAAGAAUAAGGGAGAAUGAUGAACAAAAUCUGACUUGAACCUCGAAGAUGGGAAAAUAUAUUAACUAUGAUCGGACUUGAAGAAUAACAGAUCGAACAAACAAAAGUGGACAGAGUUGAAUCACGAGGCUGACGAAUAUUGGAUCUGACUCACGACCAACAAUCUGACUGCACAACCAAUAUCUAUUUUUAAGAAGUUUUGAAGGAAGUCACCAUGAAGAGGAGGGAAAGGCGGAGCGGUGAUGGAGAGCAUGGUAUUACGGGAGAGGCAGAACGACGGUGAGGGAGGUUAUUGACAUGGAGCGGCCAUGGCUUUGUGAGCGAGAAGCGUAAAAUUAGGGGUGACGUCACUACAAGAAAAAGUACAUAUUAUGACAGUUGUAUAUAUCUAAAAUUGAAAGUAGUAAAAAAAAACUGUCACAAAAGGUUAAAAUUCGCGUUUUUGGCGAGAAAAGACAGAAUUUUUCGGAUUCUACUUUCCGCGAUAGUUAUUUGUUGUCACGAAAGGUAUAUAAAAUAUAAUUUAUCUAUUUAUUAAAAUAAAAUUCAUUUUAAAUAAAAAUAUUAAAUCACAAUUUCCCCCAAUUCUUAAACCCUCGCGCAAACUUCACCCUCACCCUUCGCUCACGAUUUUGACAUCCAUCCUCAAUCCGACCACCACGUCCCGUAUCCGAACAUCGUCGACCAUCUCCAACAGACACAUAAUGGGAAUCAACAAAUCAAGAGCUUAGAGAUUCAAGAGAUUAAGCUUUUACAGCUUCCUUCUGUUUGUCACUUGAAAAGCUUUAGUGCUAUUGUCCAAGUAAUUUCUCUUCCAAUCCUCUCUCUUUUCUUUUCUUUUUUUCUUAAAUUUAAUUUAUAUUUGCUAAGUUGCUUGAUUAUUUAGCAGCUAUUUUGUUUUUGGUGUUUGGUUCGUUAAAAGUAAGGUUACUUUUUUUUUAAUCAUGAUUUGAAAUUCAAUUUCAAGUAUAAAAGUUCCAUUUUUGGUCAAACUUCAUUAAAGAAAGAAUAAAGUUUGAAUAACUAUUUUUUCUUCUAUAUUUUGGUUUGGUUUUUAUGAAAGAGAUUUAGGAGUUUUGGCUUAGUUUUUGAACAUGAAUAAAAAGUAGAAGAGAUUUAGGAGUCUAUAUUCAUGAGUUUAAUUUUAAAGAAACUGUAAAUAAAUUUCAACUAGUACCAAAAUAUCUGUAAUUAAUAGUGCAGCAAAUCUAGGAAGCUGAAGAUGAAACAUAGUAGAACUUAGGUAACUGACAGUGGAUGAAAUUCUUUUGCAGUGGAAAGCAAAUGGACUAACCCCACUUGCUCUUAUGAAAUCUAUACAUAGGGAGGGAAUGGGAGGGGUGUUGCUUUUUUUCUCUCUUUUUUUUUUUGGGUGUAACAGAAAAAUUGUCAUAUAACCCUUGAAGGAUAGGGUUAACCAAAUUUUUUGCUAGUGUAUAGAAGGAGAAAAAAAGGAAAACAAAAAAGGAUGGUAGUUAGUUUGGUGAAGGCUUGUGGAGGAAGAAAGUGUUUGGGUAAAGAAAGCUUUCCAAAAUUUUGUUCUCGGUUUUAAAUUCCAUAGUGUAUUUUGCUAUGACUUUAUUGGUGUUUUUUUUUUUUUUUUUUUUUUUUUUGCAUCUAGAGGAUGUAAUUCUUUGAAUUUGUGAUCAUGGAUGUUUUAAAUUUGAACAUGAUUGUGGGUUUGAAAAGAGAAAUUGAAUGUAGCAGUUAUAAUGUUGGGUUGGUAGUUUAAUAUCAAUGUUAAAUAUGUAGAAAACAUUCUGCUUGCCAUUGUUCUAAAAGGACGUUCUGUUAGUAAGAUGAAUAGAUAACUCUUGAAUGUACAAAUUUAAUAUUUAAACGGUAAUUCAUAUGUGGUAGGAGGGGAUCGAACCUCUGCAACCUUUGAAGAGGCGUGUCAUUUACCAUCAAGUUAUACUCUUUUUUAGAUUUAAGUAAGAUGCAAUAAUUGUGGAACGUUUGCUCAUUAUGCCUUUUUAAUUCAAGUUUUUUGUUUGUUAGAGAAUCGAAAAAAAGUUAAAACUUUUGAAAGUUGUAUACAAACAUUUUUAGAAGCUAUUAGGGAAGAGGAAAAAAUAUGAGUUUCGUUUACUUUUCCAUCAGCUAAAAUAUUUUAAAGUACAAAAUUAAAAAGAAAAAAUUCCUUACUGCGAUACACGUGGCUAAAAAUGAUUGGCCGACUUUGAAUUUUGUUUACGUAUUUAUAUAAAUAAUAUGCCAUUUCGUCAGGUUCUGGAGUCCUAGUUGAGGCUUAAGUUCACUAUUCGUACGUUGCUUCAUUUUCCCAAUCAAAACCAUUGAAUCUGCUUCGUUGUAUUGUAAUUCUCUCUACAAGACGAAUACCACACAGUUGUAGAUACCGUAUUUUGUCCUAUAUUUAUUUAUUAUAAAAAAAAAAAAAAGAAAUUAAAUUUGAAUUUGAAUUGAAUUUGAAUCUUAAAUUUAUGUUUUAAAAAAACAAUAAUAAUAAUAAUAAAUACAUUUAAAAAUAAAUAAUAAAAAUAAAAAUAAAAGGUUUGAUUUUCUUCCUAUUUUUUCUCAAUCAUCCCUUUUUCUUCGUCAUCACUCUCCCACUUUCUCCCACUCUAUCACUUUCUCCCACCCUCCCACUUUCUUCCUAUUUCUCUGUAGUCUGCACUCCAUCUCGUGAUCUAAAAAAAACAAUGGAGUUUGCCCUAUAAAAAGGAAAGAGGAAAAAAGAAAGGGGAGGAUUUUUUUUAUUAUUAUUGGAGGAUUUAGAAAGAGGUGAAGAGUGAAAGAAGAUCAAAAGGAAUAACCUUUGGCAUUUAAGGGCAGACCUGUUGGUAAGUUAUUUUUUUUUUCCUCUUUUUAUUCUUGUUUGAUGAUUUUUUUUUUCUUGUUUGAUAAUACUGCUUUUAAUUAUGAACUAUCGUGUUCAUCAUUUUAUCAUCAUUUGACAUGUUAAUUUUAUUAUUUGUAUUUUUUUAAUACUGAGCAUUCUACCUUCCAUUCUAUAUUAAAUUUUUUAUUUUUUAUUUUUUAUUUUUAAAUACUGAGCAUUCUGUUCUGUGUUAAUUUCUUUUUAAUUGUUGGGUAUGCACUGUGUUAAUUUUCUUUUAUUAUUGGGCAUCCAUUCUGUGUUAAUUUUCUUUUAUUAUUGGACAUUCAUUCUGUGGUGAUUUCCUUUUAUUAUUGGGCAUCCAUUCUGUGUUAAUUUCUUUUUAAUUAAUUAGCAUCAUAUAUUUGUAUUUGGAUACUCAUUCUUCAUUGACACCCAUUUUACCGUUAAUUACUUAUAUCCAUAUCCAUAUGGCAUGCCUUAAUAAUUAUGCAUAAUUAAUCAAUUAGCCUUCUGUAUUUGGUAAUACUCAUUCUUUAUUGGCACCCAUUUUACUGUUAAUUACUUAUAUCCAUAUAACAUUCCUUAAUAAUUAUGCAUAAUUAAUCAAUUAACAUCCUGUAUUUGGUAAUACUCAUUCUUCAUUGGCAUCCAUUUUACAGUCUUUGUUAAUUACUUUAUCCAUGUAUCCAUAUGGCAUACUCCGUUAAUAAUUACUGUUAUCCAUAUAUUAUCCAUGUUAAUAAUUAUGCAUGAUAUAAUUAAUUUUUGGCAACAACCAUUUUUCAUUUGGCUUAUUAAUUAAUUAGCAACUUGUAUGUGAUAUUUUCACUCACUCAUUCUAAUUAUUUGCGUGAUGUAUUAAUUAAUCAGUAUGCAUAUGUGGCUAUAAUUAUUUGAUAUUCAUUUUGGUGUGAUUAUUUAUUUGCAAUAUUAUUUAUUUGCAUAUUGGGCCAAACCUACUUUGGCAUUCAACUGUUAAUUAUUAUUUGAUAUCCAUUUGACCCUCGUUUAAUUAUGUAUUAAUCAAUUAUUUUGCAUCAUUUUGAAUUAAUUAAUUAUGUUGCAUGUGUUGUAUUAAUUAAUUAUCUUGCAUCUUACAUUAAUAUCUUUUACAUUUUGCAUAUAUUAUCAAUGUAUUUAUUUUAUCUCAGCAUAUUACACCUAAAUAUUUUUCAAAUUUCAUAAUGUUUUGUCAUUGUUAUUAUUCUUUUUUUUAUUUAAAUAUAAUAAUGUAAAUUGGAGAAAAAGUAUUGUUUUUUUAUGGAUUUUAUAAUAAAAUCCAUAAAUACAUGAAAUUUUUCCGUUUGAAAUUUAAUUAAUAUAUUAUUUUUUAAAUUAACACAUUUCAUAUUUUAAAUGAGACUGAGUAGUAUUUUCUAUGAAUUUAUUAAUUUCUAGAUAUAUGAAAUUUUUCAUUAAACACCUAUGAUAGAGAUUAAAAUAUCAAGUUUUGGUAUCUUAAUAUUCUUAAGGUGAAUAAAAAUAUUUUAAAACAAAAGUAAACUUCAUUUUUCUAAUGGCUCAUGUGCCACCCAUAAUUAUCAAUUCAUGCUUAUGUUUUACUUUCUUCGAUAUGAAUUGAUAAACAUGAGACAUUUAAACAAAACCUAAAUAAAAACUUUGUUAUGUGAACCCCUAUAUUUAAUUUAAAAGAUAAAAUUGGGUAACCAUUUUGUGGGUGUUGUAGGGUGCUAACACCUUCCCUACACACAACUGACUCCCGAACUUAAAUCUUUGAAUUUACGUAGACCAUUCUUUUUUUUUUUUGUGACCAAUCACACCUUAAUAUGAUUGGUGGCGACUCCAAAAUUAUUUAUUAAAAUAAAAUAAACGGGUCGGCCGCUCCGCGUAGCGAUCACGUCUCGACAACAGUGAUAGAUGGAUCAGAUUCAGUACUCUGAGAAGUACUUCGACGACAUUUAUGAGUACAGGUAUUAUGUUCUUACUCUUAGUUUCCAACUCCAUUGUUACUCUCUGUCUUGAAGGAUUGUUUGGAUUUGGAAGUGUUCAUUCUUAUUGUCUUCGAUGUCUAAUUGGAUUCAUUGGUGCAGGCACGUGGUUCUUCCACCCAAAGUGGCUAAGUUGCUUCCUAAGAAUCGUCUGCUAUCGGAAGUAAGCAAUUUUGUUUUCUUAGUUUCAAAUUUAUGUGUCUCGAUUUUGUUACGAAAGAAAGUAUUAUCUGAUUGAUUGGGAAGAAACUUAGUUCAGUAGUUGAAUUCUUAUUUCCGGUUUAGGUAUCACUCUUGAGAGACCCUAUGAAAUAGAUAUUAUUCCGUGGACAGUUUUUUCCCAUAUUUCUAAUCUUUUAUAUUUUCAUAUGAUCUUGAUAUUCUCUCUUUGAUUUGGCUGAUGGUUGCAUGAAGUUGAAACAAUGUUUUUGAGUAUUUCAGAUAGAAGUUAGAUGAAAAAGGAUUGAGAAUUUAGGGUGCCAAACCUCAUAUCAUGCUAUUCAUGACGCCCCUGAACUACCAACAGCAGCAAGAGAAUCGCACUCAACAAAAUGCGCUUGCUGCUAAAUAAUGAUUGCUUCAUUUUACUGAUUUUGUGAAGUGCUACUAUCCAAAAAGAAAGAAGUUAAUAUUCAGUCAUAAGCAUAUGAUGGUUUUAAAAUGAAAUAUCCUCGUGUCUGUGGUCAAUUUUCUUGCUUAGUAAAUAUGCAGGAGUUUCUAUGUUUACCUUGAACUCUGUAUGUUUGUAGAGGAGGCUUAUAUAUAUGCAUAUGCUCUGUAUCUUUGUUGGACACUGCGGUUCCUUGAAUUUAGAAGGAAAAAUGGGUUUUAUGGAUCUUAAUCCUUAACUUUCUGUGCAGAGGUGAAUUAUUUUUAUGAAUUAUUUUUAUGCUGUGUGACUUCCAAAUUCUAUUAUUUUUAGAACAAAAGAUGGAUUUUGUUGAUUUUGUUGAUUGUGAAUCAUGAUCGUGCUCCUUUUCUUUUAAUGGGUGUAUGCUAGUUUCUCAUUUUUGCAACAUCCAGUCUUGAGAAUUUGUACCACUUUAGUGAACUGCUUGCUGCCACAUACAUCUAUCAUUUGGAUGGUGUGAAAAUUGUUUUAAAUUCUUUGGUUUAUGAUUUAGGCCAAAGAGAUUGGAACGGUAUAAAUGAAUCUCAACGGCCUGGGUAUUGAGAAGGUUAGAUCUCUUUCAAAUCUUGAUUUAGUACGCUUUCUCAAUUUACUUGCUGCAACUUUGUUUCUUCGUUCUUUUAUUCUUCAUCUUUAUUUCAAAUAGGGGACGUCCCGACUUUACCUUUUUUACCUUAAAUGAAUGCUAUCGGAUCAAUUAAUGAAUUGUAAAUAAGAAUAUUCUGCAUGAGCCAAUUUUUUUCUGUUACGAAAAUCGCAGGAUUUCAAAGAUAUUAGGUUUGGUUUUCAUGAAAAUCACUCAAUAAAAUUAUUGGUUGAAUUAGUGAAAAUUAGUAGCACCAAUCUAAACUUUUUUCUUAAGUGCAUCAUUACUUUGAGUCGAAAUUCUAAAUAGGAACCUGUUUUGUUUAGAGCCUUGAAAAAAGAACAAAAAUAAUCUCAAACUUAAAUCUCUUAGUAACCUCAUUGUUUCGUCAGAAAAUCUUCAUCAUGCUGAUUUAAUAACAAUAUAAUUAUACAAUACAAGUGCACCUAAUCUAAGUUCUUCCAUUACUUCAUAAUCGAAAAUACAAGGAACAACUCAACAACAUUGACAAUAAGAAAAUGCUCUCUGCCUACAACUAUCUAUUGUACAAAUCAGAAAUGAAAUCAUAAUUCUAAUUCACAUCUUCAUGUGUCUCUGUAGUUCUAAGUUGCUGCUUUAAUAAAGCAGUCUUUCUUGUCUUAAGCUCAGCCCCUUCAAUAUGCAACAAAACCCAUUUCUCAUUCAUAUCCUUCAAAUUCUCCUCUUCCAUUCUCCUCAGCCCAUCUCUCCACACCCCAUUCCCCGAAAACUGCCGAGAAAAUUCAGCCAGAAGAACAGGAAAGUUCUUCAGAUCAACAUCAACCCCAACCCCUUUGUCAACCAUUCGAGUAUUAGGCUUACUGGUUUCACACUGACCAGUUGUCAUGACUCACUAUUUUGAGAGGGUGGUUUCUGUGUUUCCAACAAUAUACCUGCUAGGAUGCGACAAUUAUUUUCCCUCUCUUACACUUUCUAGCAUGAUCAUUGCGACAGAUUAUGGUUUGUUAUCGAUACAACUUUCUUUUUCCUUUUAGUUUGACUCUUUAUUCAUUGGAACUUCAUUUUGUACAGAUAUUGUGUAAUUCAUUUGGUACAACUUUUGGGGAAAAAAUUUCUUCUAUAAUAUAACAAGCUAAAGACAAGAUCAACCUCCCAAGAUCCUAGUUAAAAGGUGAAUUUUAGACAUCUCCAUGAUUGAAAAUCAUUGUUAUAUGAUCAAGAUGAUUUUAGAGUGCAAAACUCCUAUUUGGAAACUAAUAUAGCAAGCUAAACUCUUGUUUCUUCACAAAGAACUCUUGUAUCAUUACUUUUUAGAAAUUAAUAUAACAAGUAAAUUUUGCUGCUAGUAUGAGGUAGUAGAAUUGUUGUAUGUCCUAAAAGACUAAACUGAUAGCUUGUAAUUUUAAGGUUAUUGGUUAGAUUUCUAUUUCAUCUAACUUCAAUGGCCUCUUCUUAGUUAAUGUCAUUCAUAUUAGAGGAUGAAGAGUAAUAGAGAUACCUUUUUUUUUUUUUUUUAUCAUGGAUAGUAUGCUUAUAUCGGUUGGCUAUUGCUACUUGUGUAAAUUGUCAUGGGUAUUAUGUAUGUACUUAUUGCUAUUGCUAAAUUGCUACUUGUGUAAAUUGUCAUGGAUUUUAUGUUUGUACUCAUUGGUAGAGCUUUUUUUUGGAUAAGAAACUAGGAGACCUUUAAUUUCUGUCAAGCCAUAAAUGAUACAAGUUGUUCUAGUUUCAUUUUCCUAGUACCUUAAUAUUUCUUGGCUUCAUUAACUGAAGUGGAUUGCACAUGAAAACUGUUUUCUUUCUUAUAUUUGUAGAUUUGUGGAUUGGAUAGCGUUUCUUCCAACCUUAUUGACAGUGAACUACUAAUGGAUUCUUAAGUUUCAUUCAUCUCGAUUAUUACUUAUGAUUACUUAUUCAAUAAUUUCCUUGUAGAUUCCUUAUUUAUAUCCAGCUAAAUUUUCUAAAGAGUUGUAAUUUGUAAAAAGUUUUAAUAUUGUAGACCAAGUGGAUGUUAAGGUGAUGUUGUUAUUCUACAUGUGUGCUCUGCUAUGUAGUUGUUUCUCUUAUCGACGCAUUUAGUGAUAGAUAAUGCUCAAUGUUGAAAUUUUCUAUAAGAGUUGUACUCUCUCGUUCUAUGAUGGAUGCUUAUAUGUAUGUUGUCUUUGUAGGUUCAAUUGAAGUCGACAAUUUCAUGGGUUUACUUUCAAAGAAAAUUUUCAGAGACGAACAUUCUCGGUUGGUCGUUUAUGCUUUAGCAGAAAAUCUUGUUAGAUGUAUUCUGAUGCUAUUUAAAAUAUUUUUUGAUUAAGGGAUAGGAUUCCGUACUUGUAAAUUGUUGGAACUUGAUUGGAAAUGUACAAAUAUUAUAAAUUGUAUUAUAGCGUAUAUAUAUUAAAGUGUCGACUAUUUUUUUCUAUACGGGUGUUAAUAUUGUAAAUUCAAAAUUGUCAUUGUCGGCUACAUUAUUGUCAUUCAAAUGGUUCGUGUAAUGACAGAGUGGCAAGAAGAACAGGAAAAAACUAUAGUAAUCUAGUAAUUUGCAACAUGAAAAACAUGUCGUAAUAUAUGAAUUUGUGACAGUUAUUAAUUGUUGUGAAUAUGAAAACAAUGACAGUUGUUUUUUACAAAAUUAAUUGUCACGAUUCUUCUAUCUUUGAUAGAAAAAAAAUGUCGUCAAUAGCAAAACAAUGACAUUUUAAAAAAAAAAAACUGUAGCGAUUAACAUAUCCGUGACAUUUAAAACAUGUCACAAUAAACAAAUUCGCGACAUUUAUUUAACUGUCGUUAAUAUAUAAAUGAUAAUAGUUAUUUAUUGUCAUAAAAUAAAAUAUGACAGUUAUUUGAUGUCGUAGAAUGCUAAUUAACGACAUUUAUUUUAUGUCAUGAAAUAAGUUAUUGCAACAGUUUUUGAAAGCUGUCAUGGAAGGACUUUGCAUGACUCUCGAUUCUAUGACUGAAAAUAAUUGUCAUGGAUUUUGUUCGCGACAGUAAAUAACUGUCGUCGUAGACCAUUUUUCUUGUAGUGCGUGAAGAAAAGAUGAGAUCUUUCAAAAGUUUCAAAUCUCGAGGGUUUUAAAUAGAAUCAUCUCCCAACACCAUGUGAAGGAGGUUAGGAGUUAGGAGAACUCCCGACGAUUUAAGGAUGUGUCAGGAGUUUAAGAGAGCUCUCGACACAUUUCUUAACUAUGUCAAGAGUUUUCUCCUGAUCAAAUUAAUUUUUUUUAUCUAACUCGUAACAUAACAUCGAUGUACAGCAUUGGAGGUUGUACGUAGCGUACUCCUGAUGCGUGCUUUGAGCCUAUCCAGAGAUAUACUUUCUCUCAACCCGUUCUCCCUUGAGGAUCAUUUUGUGCGUUAGAAAAUAGCUUUUUUUUUUUCUCUUGAAUUGAUAUAGAUGGAGCUGUUCAAAGGAUACAGCGUUACUCUAACAUCUAUUUGCACUUAAUUUAUGUGCUUUUAUGCAAUUAAGCUCCAAUCCUAUCCUUUUUCCAUAAUGACGACGCCAUCAGUGGUAAUUGAGGAAUAUUUUUCUUUGUUCCCAUGCAUACUGUUUGUUCCUCAAGCCACAAAAUGUGUUAUUGAAUGUGCUUAAGAAUGCAUCUUUUCUUUCUUUAACUGUACAGUAAAGUUUAAUGGUGUAAAUGGUUACCAAAUUAAAGUAUAUAUAAAUCAAAGUUAAAAAGGAGUAAAUAUUAUUGUUUGGAUAACAGAUUUAACAGAGAAAGAACCAUCAUUGUUUGGCUUCCAGAUAGGAUGAUCUUUGUGAUUGUUGUCUGGAAGAGAUGGAAGGCUGCUUUGUAUAGUUUUCCACCGUAAGACUUCUCUAUCUUUUAGAGAUUUUCACAAUAAGUUGUUGAAACUAUGUGUCUAUGUUCUUAAAUGAGACAUUUAUCGAGUUCUUUUUUUCAUUAGGGAAACAUUUAUCAAAAGCAUAUUUGGUUAUUCAAUUGAAAACAUUUUCUUUCAUUUUAAUUUUAAUAAAUAUUCUAUUUUGGUCAAUAUAAUUACAACAUUGACUUAAUAAUACAUUGAAAAACUCUUCAAUAAAUCAUCUAAAAGAAAAACAAAUGCAUGCGGUAAAAAUGAGUCACAAUCAAAACACGGAUAUUGAAAAUAUAUAAUAUAUAAAUUUAAAAAAUUAGAAAAUUAAGAAAUUGAAAAUCAAAUUAUUUGGAUUUCUCUAUCAUGCUGGUAUGUAUUUAAAAAUCCACCAAAACUCUCUAUUUAUAGAAAAAAUGACAAACAUGAGGUGGGUUACAUAACCACUAAAUUCAUGUUUACUUGACACAGGAGAUCUUAUUUGAACUCUAAAUGUUUACGAUAAUCAAACACAUAACUUCAUUAGAUAAUAAACAUUUAUAUAUUAUCUAAUAUUUAUGAUAUAAUACAAAUAAUUGGAACAUUAUUUAAAUUUAAAGGACAAUUUCCUACUUUUGCUCAUGUACUUUAAGCAUAAACACUCAUGAUAUCCCUCAAAACUCAUAAACCAAACAAAUAUUUUUUCUCACAAGUAAAUUCAACUUCACUUUUGUCUUAAAUAAUUGCUCACACUAGUACAAAAGUGGUCUACAACGACAGUUAUUUACUGUCGUCAACGAAUUUCGCAACAGUUAUUUUCAGUCAUAGAAGUGGGAGUCAUGGAAAGUCCUUCGACGACAGUUUUCGAAAACUGUCGUAAUAGGUUAUUUUAUGACAUGAAAUAAAUGUCGUUAAUCAACAUUUAACGGCUUCAAAUAACUGUCAUAAUUUAUUUUAUGACAUUCAAUAACUAUCAUCAUUUCUUUAUUAACGACAGUUAAAUAAAUGUCACGAAUUCAUUUAUUGCGACAUGUAUUAAUUGUCAUGAAUAUGUUAUUCGCGACAGUUUUUUUUUGUAAAAAUGUCAUUGUUUAGGUAUUGACGACAUUUUUUUCCAGUCAUCGAUUAUGCAAUCGUGACAGUUUUUCGAUAACAUUAAAUGUCAUUGUUUUGCUAUUGACGACAUUUUUUUGCAGUCAAAUAUAUUGCAAUCGUGACAAUUUUUUUGAAAAAAAAUUGUCAUUGUUUACCUAUUGACGACAUGUUAUUCCUGUCACAUAUAGAGCAAUCGUGACAAUUUAUUUUGUUAAAUAACUGUCAUCGUUCUCCAAUUUACAACAACUAAUAACUAUCACAUUCCUCAAUUUCCUAUAGUUUUAUCAUGUUCUUCAUGCAGCUCCACCAUUACACGAACCAUUAGAAUGACAAUAAUGUAGCUGAGAAUGACAAAUUUGAAAUUAUACAAGUUUCACACCAAUGUACAAGAAAAUAGCCAACACUUUAAUAUAUAUACACUAUAAUACGAUUUAUAAUAUUUGUACAUCUUAAUACAAGUUUCAGUAAUCCACAUGUACGAAAUACUAGCCCUUAAUCAAAAAAUAUCUUAAAUAGCAUUCAAAUAUAUUUGACUGGACCAACCGAGAAUGUUCGUUUCUGGAAAUGAUAUUUGAAACAAAACUCAUGAACUUGUCGAUUCCAGUUGAACCUACAAAGAAUCCAUAACACAUAUGUACAGUCAAUGAAUAACUAAAUCAACGUCUCAACAAAAUACAGAACACAAACAAGAACUUCAACACUUGAUUCCAUGAAAUGAAAAGAGAAGACCAUGAGGACUAUAUUAGGCAAACACAGCAAACAAAAACAUAUUGCUACUCUUUCUCUCUAGAAUACACAUACCAAAAACAUACCCAGCUCACUCUCCCAUUCUCCAUUCAUUUUACUACCCCACUCAUGGUGGUCCCUCUUCAAAUCUGAUAAUGAAAAUGAAGUUCCUAAGAAGAGGAGAAAGAGAUCAAGGAGAAGAAGAACGUCCAACCAAAUGGCCACUGCAAAUUGAACAACUUCUUGGGUUGUUCCUAGUCCUUAGAACAAAACAGCCUACGACAAUACAUGUACGACAAUUUGUAAUCCUUAGAGUUAAACAGUUUGUAUUAUGCAAUCAUCGCCAAUAAAGAUGAACUAUGAAUAAUCAUGUACCAAUUCUCUCAAAUUAUUAAAACGAAUAGGAAGAUUACAGCAACUACUCAGGUUCAGGAACAAAAAAAGUGCUACAGCGAUUGAAGGGUUCAUGUGCAAGCCAUACAUGUAUUGACAUACCAUUCAUUGUUGGUUUGCGACAAUGUAGGUCUAUAGCGUCUUACUUGAAUGAAGUGCCCAACAUUAUCCCAUGUGUAUGACAAAGCUGUCCAUAUUUUGGAAGACCGCAGUUCUGAAUUACAAAAACCAAUUAGACAGCACAUUGCAAAAACAUACAUCUCUAAUCCCCCAAUCCAUAUUAAACAUCCAAAGGUAGUGAACCAAGGACACAAGCAAAUAAUCACCUUCUGCAGUUAUUUGAUUGCAAGAAGAUUCAUAUCCCAAUGCAGUAUGGCACCAAAUACCAUAAUUCCAUGAGCCAGUCACAUAUAUAUCGAACUCUUCCUAAGAAACCUAUAAGGAGUAAUAACAAAAAAAAUCUUCAAUCAAAUGGUGGGAAUGGAGAAACUAAGGUGAGUGAGAACUACAAUGGGGAAGUCCAAAAAAUGAAAGGGUACUCAGAAUCCUUCAUUCACAAAAUCUCAUUAAAAACUAGAUUAUUAUACCCAAACAUUGACAAAAUCUCAUAUGCUACUUAAAACUAGAAAAAACAAGAAGCAUGUAAUAAUAUUGAAUUCAAACAUGUACUAGUUUUAAAAUAAUUAACUCUAUUGACUUUAAUAAACUACAUUUGUCUCUCUAGAUCUUUUUUUUAUUUCCAAACAGAAUAAAUAACUUGAAACUUCAACCGAUACACAUCAUAAAAACUAGCAGCCUGAGUUCAAAUUUGCUAAAACCAGAAAGAAAAGAGGGGAAAAAGAAAACAACAGAAAACAGUAGGAUCAACCAACAAUUCCAAAUAACCAAACCAAGCAGAAGAUUUAUGUAAUUUUAAUUUUUUAAAUAUAAAAUAAUAAAAAUUUUAACCAUAACAUUCUAUGACAUUUAAUAACUGUCGCGAAAAGUGUUUUCCGAAAAAUUCCAUCUUUUCCCGCCAAAAACGCGAAAUUUUCUAUUUUGUGACAGUUUUUUUUUUUCCAUUCAUUUUUUGAGAUUUAUAACUGUCAUAGUAGACAGGUUUUCUUCUAGUGUCAAUAGGUUGUUCACGUACAAAUAGAAAAGCUCAGCUCUCUCAUCUCAAAACCAUUUUUGUUUUAGUUUUUUUUAUUUGUUUUUGAGAAUUAAGUGUCUAUUUCUUUUUCAUUUCUUACAAUGAUCUGAUCAAAUCAUUGUUAGGUAUAAUAGUUAAAUUCUUUAGCCAAAUUUGAUGAACAAAACUAAGAUUUUAGAAGCUACUUUCUUUAGUCUUCAAACUUUGACUUGGUUUUUUAAACUAUGUUUGUAAAAUGUAGAUAUCAAACAAACAAAUUUGUAAAUGGAUGUAGUGUAUAUAUUUACUUAGUUUUCAAAAACAAAAAAUAAGAUUGUUACAAACAAAUUUGAUCAACAAACCCUGGGUAAAAAUUGGCAGUGGAUCCCACUACUUAAUUAUAUUAGUCCAUUUCAGUAACAAUAACCAAAGAAACGAAAAUUUUAAUUUGCAUGCAAAAAACAAACAAAAUUAUUCAAAGUCAUACUAAAACAAAAUAGAUUAAGUUUCUGUUACUAUAUAUGACUAUGGAGAUAUGGAGAUGCCAAAUUGGUAACGACUUUCCUUUUAAACUAUUGAUCAAACCAUUGGCACCGUAAUACCUUUGUCUUUUCAUUUUUUUUAUAUAACUAUUUCACUCAUUUUUUUCUUUUUUUUUGUUAACACUACUCAUAAUUUUUCUUCUAUAAUCUUUAGUACAAAAAUUAUCUUCGAGUAUUAAAAAGAAAAAUUAUCAAAAAUAGUAAAUUUGUCAAAAUAUUUACAGCCAUAGCAAAAAUUUCAGACAUUGAUAUGUUUUUUAUCGGUGGCAUUGAUAAACAGUGAUAGAAGCCUAUCAAUAACUAUCAUUGAUAGAAUCCAAAAUUUUGAUAUAGCUUGUAAAUAUUUUAAUUUAUUUUGUUAUUUUUAAAGAUGCCCUUAUGUAUUUAUUUAGUUAAUAUUAAAUUAUCAAUAAUUAGUUCAUUAAAAUAAAGUAUUUUAGGUCGUUUUUUCGUGAUUAUUUGAGGAUUCUAAGAAUGUGUCAAACCUAGUUGAUAUAUCAUACCGCACCUCUUCAUCCUUCUUUUCCUCUUUCCCUCCUUCCCUCUAUUAACUUGUUCGAAAAAUAUAUAUUGCCAAAAAAACCUUGAGAAAGUAGUGCGUACUCUCCAAAUCCGAGCAUGCACGAGAACUAAGGCACUUACAAUGUUAGAGCAGUUUAAUUUUAUUUCGGUAUAAUUGUUGAACUAAAAAAAUAUGUAAUAAUUACCCUCUCCUAACUUUAAAUUAGCUGCUACCUUUAUAUACUAUCUAGAGUUCUAUAAUGCAUCAAGUCUAAGUUUUCUAAAAUUACACCUUGAUUUUGUAAUUCUAAAGAACAAACGUCAACAACAUAUAUAUUAAAGAUGGAAGCAUUCCAAUUUUUUACCUCUUAGUUGUGAUUAUGAAUUCACUGUUAAGGUACACUUAGGUUAACAUUCCUUCCUGAAGAAACAAAUUUACACCAACAAGAAUUUCAGUUUUUAAUGACCAAACAAGAUGCCAAAAACUCCAAGCACGCCAUUUCUUAUAUAAGAACCUCCACCAUUCACAAUUUUUUCACACAAAUCAACACAAGGAUUCUCUCAUUCUCUCUAUAUCUCUACACUCAUUUUUGUUCAAACAAUGGAGGCCACAAAGUCUACGAGUGCAUCCACCAUAAGGUUAGCAAUUGUAUUCCUAGUCUGCAUAGUCAUUUUAGCUCCGUCAGUGACGGCCCGCACGAUGGCAGAAGCACCAAGUCCAGUAUUAGUACUAUUUGAUGAGGAUGAUUCAUCUUUCUCAAACUGCGCCCCUUUUAUUUUAGAAGCGACAAUGUGUGUGGUAGAUGUGAUCAAGCUUCCAGUUGCUUCUCAUCCUUCUUGCUGCAAAGCCAUUUCUGACCUUAACGAUUGUGCUCCCCAAAUUUAUCAACAUAUUCCUGACAUGGAUGUGAUUAAGAAAAUAUGUGGCCUAUGAGUAAUUGGGUAAUGAUCAUGAUGAAUAAAAACUUAUAUCACAAUAAAUUUCUUUUUUUUUCUAAAGUACGCUACAUUAUUAUAAAUUUAUAGUUUAUGGUGGAGAGUAAACGUUGUUGAAGUCUGGGUAUCUAUCUAUAUAUAUAUAUACAAGUCUAUCAGGGAUUUGGCAAAUGUUGUUAAUUACAAAAAAAAUUAUUGUUUCCAUUUAUAAGAAUUUGUUUCAUUUAACUAAUUUUUAAGAGUUUAAUUUUUAAUAUAUUAGUUUAGGAAAAAAAAUCAGACUGUUUAUGAUCACUCAAGGAAAAUACUUUCAAAUUGUGUAUUUUAAAUUAUUUUCACCCAAAGAGUUUAAAAUAUAAAAACGAUUUUUUUCAAAAACAAUUUUUUUCCCAAUCAAUUCGAAAGGUCCUAAACCAUUGACUUAUGUGAAUUUGUGAAUUUUGCAUCCGCGGCAUAGUUGAAAUCAAUACAAUUAAUUAGUGAUGUCAUUUUGUCUCUCCUUUUGCUUCUCAACUAUUCAUAGUGAAAAGAAACUUAGUUUAAUGACAUUUAACAUGUACUCUCUCUUAAUUCAAGUUUCAAUACUCUCGUUCUUGCAAAUGUUCUACUAGGAAAAAGUACAUUAACUUUACAUACCUCUAAAUAAUUGACAUUUUACUGCAUAUCUUUUGAGAAUUGAAGUUCAAAUCCUCACUACUAAAAUCAAAAUAUUAAAGAAACUGAUUGUAUCGCUUGUUUUUGUAUAUAGUCCUAAAUUGAGCUUUGCCUCUAGCUCCUCAACAUCUUUAUAUACUACUUUGCUUUAUUCCGUAAUACAAUCCUUUUUUGAUGGAGAGUAUGAUGGAAGGAUUAUGGAUGUGUCAACCUGUCAAGGUAGAAUUCGAGAGCUCCACUUCUUCUCCAAAAACAGUAAUCAGCAAAGAGAAGAUAUUGCUCAACACUCCCUUCUGGAUAAAACUUCCAAUUUCAUCUUAUGUUCCUAACUUUGUCGUACUAUCUUAAACUAAAUUACUCAUUGUUCGCAUGUUGUAACGACCCAACCUUUCUAGGUAAGUCGAGGUCAUUAAUUUUUGACAAAAGACAUUGGUUGAUACAAAAUGAAAUGUAAGCCAAUUGAAAAACAACUUUAAGUCAGACCUGAUUUUCAAAUAUUCAAAACUUAAGAAAAAUGUAUUAUUUACAAAUAAAAGUUUGUAAACUAAGUUUCAAUACCACGUCUUUAAGCCUCAAAAGAAACAAUAAGCGGAAGCAAAUAACACGUUUCCUAUGGCAAUCACGCUUCCUUCCUGCCCCUCGCCGAUUUGCCACCUUUAUUACCUUUGCCUGAAAAUUAAACAUAAGAAGGGUGAGUAUAAAAAUACCCAGUAAGAGACCCUCUACUGGUCUCGUUAGGGGAAAAUAAAUUGUUAACAUUCUAUUGGGACACCCUGUACAGUCGUAGUCUUGUGAUCCCGUAGGAUGCACAUUUCAGUCUAACGCCCCGAGGGACGUACAUAUCAGUCUAGUGUUCUGCAGAAACACAUAUCAGUCUAAUGCAUCCCGAAGGUGCAGAAUAAUUGGUGAUCCCUUGGGACACCUACAAGGCACACAUCCCAAUAAAAGCUAACAAUUUUCCCCUCAUUCCAUUCAAUCCAUCUUUCAGUUACUUCAAAAUAUAAAGUUCUUUCUCUCAACGUUCUAACAGUCAACUUAUCUAACUUUAAACAAAUGUCUGUCAAUAACAUACUAACACGUCAGUCAAUCAAACUAUACAGUCAUAACACCCCUCAGUUCACCAGCACACAGUCAUACUUUAGCGUAACGUACACCCAGUCUAAACUACAAUCACAAGUUCACAUAUGCAUCUCAUACAAACACAAUCUACAAUUUUCGUCUUGUCCACAUCCACACACAUAUAUAUAUAUUCCAAGACAAUCACAAUAUGCAUUCAGCAUUAAGUCUACUUCAACCCAUAUGUAUAUAUAUAUUUUCAGUCAAUCCACAGUAAAUAUUCAACACCGAAUCUACAUCCAUACGUGUAUAUAUAUAUAUCAUCUCAACAUCUUUACUUAGUCAGAGAUAAACAUACAGACAUACAAUUCACAAGCAUAGGUGAGUCCAGUAGAAAAUCCCUUACCUUAAGAUUUCCUAAGUUUCUUGGUCAACAAAGUCCAACGCACCAAUCCUAAUUUAAAUAGAGAAUUUAACUCCAAAUAAACUUGUCGCGAUUCGUUGAGGUCUAACUCCGCCUCAAUUAACACCUUCAAAGAGCAAUAUUAACCAACCGUUUAAAUUUAACAUUUCAUCUCAACGAAUCAAUCAUACGGAAACUACCAAAUUCACAAUUACGAACUUACACUAAAACCCAAUACUUCUUGUGGUAGGGCAGAAAUUGCAAUUUAGCACAGGUGAAAUCGACGCACGCGAAAGGAAGAUCUAGAUGUGACCCAUCCUGGUUGGGGAAGUGUAGUCGCGUUACACGCGCGAUUGGAAGACACGGGCGCGCGCGAUUUUAGAUUUGCGAACGGAGGUAGAGGUAGCUUCACGACGCACCACUUCGCCAACGGCAGACAACUUCACGAACAGAGUGGUUCGUGUUAAAAAACGAUUAUACAAUUAAUUUAGAAAACCAAAAUGAUUAUGAAUUAAUUCUGCGAUUAUACUAAUUAAUUAUAGGUUUUGAAAAGUCAAAAGUCAAAGAAAACUUUAGCAAAAUAUAUACUAUUUUAUUCCUUCUCUUCUCUCCCGCUCGAUGGACAGCCCACACAUGUGAAUAUACGAGUAUAUCUACAUUUAUCUAUCUCCUCUCUUCUUGGGGUGCUCCAAGGGCAUGAACCACACAUCUACAUUUUCUGUGUUAAUUCUAAAAUGCUUUGGGAUAUGGUUGAGCUUAUGAUACAUUGGCGAAAUAACAAUAACAAUAUUGCUUCUUUAUGCAAAGACAUUAUUUGUCGUGUAAUUUUUUUAAAAAAAAAAAAUUAUAGGUAGUAUUAUUUCUAUCACCAUUGUUGUGGUCCUUUGGUCCAUUUAUAGCUUGAGAGGAACAACAUAAUCUUCAAGAACAAGAAUUGAUUCACUGCUAAGCUUUGGAAAGAAAUUCAAGUUCUCACCAGAUAUUGGAGUAGUAGAUCAAAUCUCUUUAACAAUUACAAUGUCUACUCUAUUACCUUAACUCUACCUAAGCUUUCUAUAACUUAUUGGGUCUUGUUUGGGUUACGUUCUCUAGCUCUUUUCGCUUUUUCCUUGUUUCGUGUUUUGUAUUUCUUUACCAUCAAUGAAGCAUGAAUGAUAAGAGUGCUAAGAGGGUAUCCACUUAGUGGAGAUAUCCAGAGCACCUACUGACCCAUCAUAUAUAUUUUUCAAAAAAAAAAUAUUAUAUCCUAUUCAAUUAUGUGGUGGCUACUUUAUGGUCUAUCUGCCUUGAAAGAAACAAUAAAACUUUCAACAACAAACACACUAGCAUUGUCAACAUAUGGCGUAGGACAUUUGCAAGCUAGUUAUUGGUUUUCUAGACAUCGCCUCUUCUCAUAACACUGUUCAUCUACCAUUACUUUUAAAUAAUAGCACUCUCAUAAUCUGGAUAUAUGUAUCUUAUGGCCUGCUCUCUAGCCCUCCUUUGAAUUAGGGAUGAUGAAGGUGCUAAAACGGUUCCCACCUAAUAGGGAUGUUUGGGUGCAUCUUAUCGUGCCAAGUCGUAUCCCUUUCCUAAUACACUUCCUCGUGAGACCUUGAACUAAUACUAAUUGUCCUUUAGGUUUCAAACUCUAGUGACUUGGGUUGUCUAUCAUGUGAUAUAAUUUUAAUAUUUCAAAACUAAUUUUGCAUAUAUGAAAACUUUGUAAAAUUAAAUGUUAAAUCAAUUUUGCAGCAUAUAUUACAUAAGGGUAGUUUUGUAAUAAGACAAAAAAAAGACGAUUUUAAAAAUCUCUACUAAACAUUGCUUUAGGGAACUUUGAACCUAUUUCUCCAAACUUUCUAGGAAAAAAAAUAAAAGAUGUUCAUCCCUUCAAAAAUUUCCAACGAGAAAUAUACAUUAUUCUAAAACCCAAGAAUCAAAAGUAUAAUUUGCCACAAGUAUAAUAUGUAUGUAUGGGUGUAUAUCAUUAAUUUUUAUGAGAACUAUAAUGAUGUAUAUUAUCAUCAUUAUGAUAAAUGAAUGUUUUUAUCAUUAAAAACUGAAAAAAAAAAUAUAGAUCAACUCCAAAUGUAACUUGUGCAACAGUAUGGAUCCUAUUACGUAACUCCAGAAGUCGAGAAUGAACAUAUAAAUUAAAAAAAUUGCAAAUUAAUUAAACCCAAAUUCAAAUUAACUAAACCCAAAUUUUACUAACUCCAAAGACUAAAAUCAACACAGAAAAAUUAAAGACAUUACAAAUAAAUUAAACCCAAAUUUUACUAACUCCAAAGUCUCCAACAUUAACAUAUAGAAAUUAAAGACAUUGCAAAUGAAUUAAACUCAAAGUUUAGUAACUCCAAAGUUCAAAAAGUUAACAUACAAAUUAAAGAAGUUUUCAUAGCUUAUUACCAAACGUUUCCAAUUUCCCUAUAUAUCUAACCUCCUUAGUCCUUCUUUCUCCCAAACAAACCAAACAGGACUAUUGAUUCUUAGAGAAAUUAAGAACCUCCUUAUUCAAUCCUUUCUAAUUCAUACUCAAUUUUAGUACCAACAAAUGGCAACAUCAGCAAUAACCAAGUUACCACUAGUUCUCCUAGUGUGCAUUGCCAUUUUAGCAUCAUCCGUAACGGCUCGUCCAACAGCAGCAGCAGCAGCAACACCCCCAUCGUUGGAGGAUUUCUCUUUGUUUCCUUGCAUAUCAUUCGUUCCUAAGGCAACAAUAUGUGUGAUUGAUGUGCUUAAAAAUGCAGUUUCUCCUCAUCCUUCAUGUUGUGAAGCCAUCUCUAAACUUCAUGAUUGUUCGUCCCAAUUUCUGAAAGACAUUCCCUCCGGUGAUAUGAUUUUGGUUAAGAGCAUUUGUGCUUCAUGGGGAGUUUCUAUUUCUUAGACUAAAUUAAUGUAAUUUGAGUUAAAUUUGAUGAAGUUAAAUGGUGGAUGUUUACUUCUUCUUUUUUUUUUAUUUAAUAAGUACCAUUUAGUUAGAAUAUAUAAGGAAGUUGGUUUUUGUGGAAUAUAAGACUAACGCUCCCUUUGAAUGAAAAAGUAAGCAUUUUUUCUACAAAGUUGAAAAUAAGCAUUUUUGUGGAAUAUAAUAUCUCAACCUUUGUUUUGUUCGUUCAUUCCCCACUUCAAGCUUUAUCUUGUAAGGAUUUUUUGUUUGCAUUAUAUUCUCAGCAUUCUGAAAGAAAUAGAAAAAAAAAAAUAGAUGCAACUAUAAGAUAUUAAUCCGAUAGAAAUCAAAUGACAAUCAUAUAUUAAGAACUACUGAUGAUGAUCCAACAAAAAAAUAAAAGAUAAUCAGAAGACAAUAUUACAAACUACCAAUUUAUGUAACAAAUAAUAGAAAGGUAAUUAUAUAUAUGACCAUCAAAAGAAAAUUAUAUAAAAUUAUUGUACAUUAUUAAUUAUUUGUCAAAGAAUAGGAAGACAAUUAUCAAAAGACAAAUUAAUCAGAUGAUAAUAUCAAAAACUAUUUAGAGAAAUAGAAGGUAAUCAUAUAAUAGUUAUAAGACAAUCGGAAAAUCUUUCAUUUUGGAAAGGUUUAUGGUGUGAAAACAGUCCAUUAUACUUGCACAAGCCUAGACUUUUUGCUCUUUCUACUAUCCAAGAUGGAAGUAUUAAAGAUGUUUGGAACGCUAACAUUUCGAACUAGGAUAUAUUUCCUAGAAGGCUGUUAAGAAGUUUGGAACCGCAGCAAUGGAUAGCUUAAAACAACCUUUUAUCCCUCCAAAUCUCAGUAGAGGUCCUGAUCUCCCCAAGUGGAAGUUCAACUCUGAUGGUAAAUUCACCAUUGCUUUAGUCAAGAAGGCCAUGAUCAACGUUGAACAAAGAGAUGAGACUAGUAUUAGCACUGGUAUUAACAUUUCGGACUACCUAACCCAACUCAACCCUUAUAAUAUGGGUUAGGUAGUCCGGAUUAUUCGUGUUCAACCCAUAUUCUUACACCCCUAGCACCUGUUAACCCAAUGUAUCUUUUUCAAAAAUAAAAAGGAAAGGUAAACUAUGGAAAAGAAGUAACUCAAAUAUUUUAUUUUCAAGCUCAAUUCCAAUUGGUAAUACUACCCAUCAAUAAUUCAAGCUUGCAAAAUGAAGUAUAAAAAAUAAUUAAUGACAAUUAGAAGAUAAUCAAACGACUAUUAGAAGUAACUAAUUGACAGAAAAAUAGAAUGUAAUCAAAUGAUUAUCAAAUAGCAAUCAAAUUUCAUGCUAAAAAAACCAAAAACCUCUAAAUUAAACCUACUUAGUUUUUUCAAAUAUUUUUUUGUUGAUCCUCCAAUUUUCCUUAUAUAUGAAAAUACACAAGAGAUAGUUUUUUCCUUUGUUUUUUUCUUUUUGACCAUGUAUAUAACUAUCAUCACUUUUUAUUAUAAAUGCUUUCCAUUAAAAUCAAAAGAAAAAAAACACCUGAUGUAACUUAUACAACAUUAUGAAUUUGUACUUACUCCAAAUUAAACCCAAAUUUUAGCAACUCCAAAUCCAAAGUCAACAUAAAAAAAUAAUAAUAAUGAAGAAAUUAUAUUGCAGUUUUCAUAGCAACCAAACGUUUGCAAAAGAGUUUGCUAUAUAUCUAACCACCCUACUCCUACUUUUUUUCUCACACAAACAAAACAGGACUAUUGAUCCUUAGCGAGUAAUUUAAAACUUUCUUAUUCAACCAUUCUCUUAACCUAUUUCAUCAUAUUCAAUUUUAGUACCAACGUCCAAUGGCGACAUCAGCUACCAAGUUACCACUUGUACUAAUAUUGGUAUGCAUUGCCAUUUUAGCAUCGUCUGUAGCGGCUCGUCCACCGAUGGUGGGAGCAGCAGCGCCUAGUAAGCCAUUGGGAACGGAGGAAUAUUUCUCUUUGUUCCCAUGCAUAUCAUUAGUUCCUCAAGCUACAAAAUGUGUUAUUGAUGUGCUUAACAAUACGGUUGCUCCUCAUCCUUCUUGUUGCGAAGCCAUUUCUAAACUCAAUGAUUGUUCGUCCAACUUUCUCAAAGACAUCCCCACAGGCGAAAUGAUUUUGGUUAAGAGCCUUUGUGCUUCAUGGGGAGUUUCUAUUCCUUAGGCUAGAAGUAAUUAUUUGAGUUAACUUUUUUGGAAGCUGAAUAAAAAAGCUAUCCAUUGGUGAUGAAUAAUGUGUUUUUUUCUCUCUAAUUUUUAAGUAACUAGCUAGAUUAUAUGGGAAGUUCGUUUUUUUUUCUUUUUUGUAAUAAGAGUGUAUACUGUGCUCCAUUUGAAUUAGAAAUAUAUAAGCAUUUUUCAUAAAGUUGGAGAUCAUUUAGAUUCUGAAAACAAUUUCCAUGCUAACAAAAUUAACAUUACAAUUUUUGAAAAGAAAACUAACUUUUACGAAAUUAGAGUUAUUUUUGUAAUUAUGCAUUGAGAAAGAGAAAAAAAUCCAAUUAUACCGACUCCGCUCAGCCGCCUCUCUCCGUUAAGACAACGAUGACACACCGGAAAGCAGCUGGGGUCAAACCAGCCCACAGCGGCGGCGGCGCAAUCAAAUACUAAGCCCCCGUCUCCCUCCGGUUCGAGUUACAGAAACGCUCCGCUCGCUGAAAUUUUUCGAAAUUAAACCCUAAAGUCUGUAACUCCAAAGUUUCAUUACCAGAAUUGCAGUUUUUCAAUUCCAAUAAACAUACCAAACGUUUUCAAACUCAAUUCUUCUUCCCCUAUAUCCAACCUCCGUACUCCCCAGUUUUCUCUCGGAAACCAAAAUAAAAAUCCCCUAAUUCAACCCUUCUCUGAACCUUUACACUCAGAAUUUCCACUAACAAUAGCGGCGAAAUCACUAAAAACAUCUACUUUGAAGCUAAUUCAACUCAACCUGAUCCAUCCUAACAGAGGAUAUCUCUUGUUUCCCCUGCUUUUCAUUUGUUUCAGAGGCGACGAAAUGAAUGACCGAUGUGUUUAAACACCCAAUUGCUCCUCAUCUCUCUUAUUGCAAGGCCAUUUCUAAGCUCAAAACUUGUUCCUCCUCGUUUUUUAAUGGAAUUCCUUCUGCUGAUAUGAUUGUGAUUAAGAGUGUUUGUACUUCGUGGGGCGCUUCAAUUUCUUAGAAUAAUAAGAAAUUUAUGGUAAUAAGCUCUGUUCAAGAAUGGGUUUUCGUUAAAUUGUGGAUUGAAAAGUCAAAUUCAACUUCCUCAUUUUUCAUGUAGUCUUUAUAUUAUAUUAUAAUUUUAUAAGGCUCCAAUUCAACACUCUGUAUUUCUCGAGAUUGCUGCUGAUAACUCCAACUUUAACUCUAAACCCAUUCCAUUUCAUUCACUCUGUUUUGCGAUUGGAACUACAUUUAACGCCGUCCUUUCUAAACUACCACCCAUGGCCGGUACUAACCCUUCCGGCACUGUUCAAGAUGUAGCUUCUAAAGGGGAAGUCCCUGAAAGAUACAUCCAUAAAGAAAGCGAUCGAGGAGCUCGAAAUGCUCCGCUAAUGGCAGCUCCGGUAAUCGACAUCGCUCUCCUCUCCUCUUCAUCCAAAUCUGGACCGGAACUGGAGAAACUCCGACAUGGACUUCAAUCAUGGGGCUGCUUUCAGGUUCGAUUUCUCUUGAUUUUCCACUCUAGAACACUAAAUCGUAAAGGGGGUUAGGAAUUUCUGAUUUCUUUGGACUCUGUAUCUCGAUCCCAUUAAAAAUUAAAUUGAAGAUAUUCAUAAAUGUUUGUGAUGUUCUUAUAGGCUAUAAAUCAUGGAAUGACAAGUGAAUAUCUGGAUGAAGUUCGUCGACUAACGAAACAAUUCUUUGGUCUUUCAAUGGAAGAGAAAUUAAAAUACUUGAAAGAAGAACUUGAAAUGGAAGGAUAUGGGAACGACAUGAUUCUUUCAAACCAACAAAUUCUUGAUUGGACUGAUCGUUUAUACCUUACUGUAUAUCCACACCAAAGCCGUCGUUUCAAGUAUUGGCCAACAAAUCUUCAAAGAUUUAGGUUACUUUUUCUUCCUCAAAUCUUGUUUUGUUUGUGAUUUUGUUUAUGAAUCUACAUAAACAUAUCUUGAUCUGGAAUUCAUUGUAGGGAAGUUAUUGAUGAGUACACUACUAAUGUGAAGCUGAUAAGUGAGAAAAUCUUCAAGGCCAUGGCAAGAUCAUUGGAUUUAGAUGAGAGUAGUUUUCUUAAGCAAUACGGCGAGCAAAUUAAACUCGACGCACGGUUCAACUUCUACCCUCGAUGUCGAAAUCCCGAUCUUGUUCUCGGUGUUAAGCCGCACGCCGAUGGAUCGGCAAUCACCAUUUUGUUGCAGGAUAAGGAAGUAGAAGGUCUUCAGUUCAUGAAAGAUAAUGAGUGGUUCAAUGCUCCGAUUGUUCCGGACGCUCUUCUCGUCAAUGUGGGGGAUCAAGUAGAGGUAAAAGAAGAAACACUUGUUUAUUCUAAAAUCACUGUGAAACAUGUUGGUAAAGAGAGUGGUGAUUUGAUUGUAGAUCACAAGUAAUGGGAUAUUCAAGAGUCCAGUUCAUAGAGUAUUGACAAAUUCAGAGAGGGAGAGGAUAUCGUUGGCAGUGUUUUACCUGCCAGACGCAGAAAAAGAAAUUGAACCAUUAGAGGAGCUGAUUAGUGAAACUCAGCCAAGGUUGUAUAAGAGUGUGAAGAACUUUGUUGGGCUUUCCUUUGAAUACUACCAACAGGGACAGAGACCAAUGGAGGCUGCAAGAAUCUAAAUUUGUUGUAUGGUAUUUCUCUACCUCUACCUCAGUUUUUUUUAGGCAAUGGUAUUGAAUAAUAAAGGGAGGUUGCGCAUCAGAUAGUCCAAUUCCAUAAUUAUUAAUCGAACCAGAAACCGCAUCUCAAACAACACAUUAAUUUUGUCUCCAAAGCUCCAUUUCUAAAUUUAUUUUGAUUUUGAUUGAUCCAGCAAGGGCUUUCUGCAUACUGAAUUGAUUGAAAUUUGAAUGUUUUCUUUUCUAUUCUUUUUUUUUUUUUUUUUUGGAGAAAAGUUAUAUUAUAAACUCGAAUUUAAUUUCUCUAAAUUACGUUAAAACCUAAAUCUAGUUUCAUUCAAAAUUGUUGGGAUUACUUUAGCGGGAAAAAAAUUGAUUGUUUAUGAUUAAUGUCAAAAAUUGAUCUCAAUUAAUUCUAAAAUAGUUUUAAAAUGAAUUCUGAUUAAUACGGUUUUGGUUUCAUUAAUUCUUCCAUUAUUUUUCCCUAAAAAUGCUUUUAGUUUUGAGAAGUUACAAGGAUAUAGAAUAUUUGUCUUUCUUCCUUUCUAUAUGUUUUUCUUUCUAGAAUUACUAUUUUGUAAGCAUUUUUUCAUCAAUUACAAUCCGUGCAACUGAUUUUGAUGAUUUAGCAUUUGUCAUCCGAUUGUGUCGAGUCUUCUUGCUUUCAAGCACAUCAAUCACCAUUUGUGUUUUACAUAAACAUGUUUGGAUUAGUAUACAUUAUCGAUGUAGUGGAUUGAGGUGUUAGAUCAAAUCCAUAGCCAUAAAAGAUAAAAUGAGAGAAAUCUCUCUAAUAAGAAUGUUUUAUUAAAUUGUAAUGAUUGACUAUUUAUAAUCUUACUACAAAAUAAAACUAAUUUGAGGCUCUUGUUACAUUUUUCUAUUUGGACUCCCUUCGUUGUUUUAAUGUGUUUUUAAUAUAGUCAUUAGACACCCUAGGUUUUAUGUUGUGGUUUAGGCUAGUUUUUAGACAAUGGAAAAACUGAGUCUAAGGAUCAUUUAUUCUUUGAACGUCUUUUUAAGGUGAUUAUUUGGUAAGAAAUUUGAAACUCAAUGUAAUUAGUUGAUGAACUAGGUGUAAGCUAAGGUUUUGAAGAGUCUUUAGUAUACUUAUAUUUAUCACAUUUGACGUGAGUGUAAGAUAUAUAUGUAUGAUGCAACCAUGCGUCCUCCUCGAUGUGGUUAGUUUAAACGGUUGUCCAACUUAAGAUUUUGGUUUGUGUUUUUCACAUGGUGUAGAGCUUCUAUUGAGAGGACUCAAGAGGGUUUCUUCUCCCUGGAACCCUUUAGUACUUUAGUUGUGUGAGUUUAAUUCUGUGUUUGAGAGGUUUUUGUCAUUGUUUGUUUCUUUUCUUUUUGGUGGUAGGUUUGUCUUUAAUUUAAACUGAAAGUUAUGAAGUCCAUUUCUCUUUAACCUAAUACGAUUGUAAAUAAAAAUAAAUAAUAAAUUUAAAUAGACAUUGAUGCCUUUCAUUUUGUAGGCUUAAUUUACACAUCUUUGCACAGAAAAUAAUUUAUUAAACUGAAAGCGAGUUUUCUUUCUUAUUUUAUUACAAAUUUAAAUCUACCAAGAAUGGAAAACAAUUUAAAAUGGACUCCCCAAACAAAAAAAAAGAUAUUUGCUCAAUAAUUAAAGCUAAAUAAGAGAGAUGUUUGAAGUAAGAAAUAAGUUACUAAAAUUAUUAUAAUAGUUUGUGUUUAGAUAUGAAUUAUUUCAAUUUAAUAAAAAAAAUAAUAGCAUUGUGGUUAAAAAAAUGAUAAUAUUGAAUAAUAAAAACAAUAGUAAAUGGAAGCUUGGAGAGCAGUUUAUUAUAACUUAUUGGAGAUUUUUAAAUAGUAUUAACGCUAAUAUUUUCUUUUUUUUAAUAACUUUGGUCCAAAAUGUCCAUAAGUGUAAUAAAUUAAAAUGAAAAGGGCAGUUUAAUCUUAAAAAUGUUUAAUAAAAAAGAAUAUAAAUAUAUAUGUGUGGAUAUGUGAAGCUCAUCAACAUAAACAAUAAUGGCACAAAAUUCUCAGAACACACAAACACAAACACUCCAACAACAACUUCUCAUCAACGGCGGCCACACGCCGGAAAGUUAUAUUUACAAAGGCGGCUACCACGGCGGAGGUUCCAACAAUAAUACUCCACUUCCACUGGCAGAGAUUCCGGUCGUUGACCUUUCUCAACUUUCAUCGCCGUCUGCCGGCGAGGGUCCGUUGAACGACCUCCGUUUGGCUCUUAGUACUUGGGGAUGCUUUCAGGUGAGCUUUCAUGAACCUCAACACUGCCCUUUUCAUAUCAACUUUAUUUUUAAUUCUAUUUUCUUCUAAUUUUCUGCUUCAAACUUUUAAUUAUACAUUUCGACUUUUUUUAAAAAUACAUUUGAGUUUUUAGCUAAAUUUUGAGAGGAAAGAUUAGUAAAUGGAGACAAUUAUUUUUAAGCUUCAAAACUUAUUAUUAAUAUUAUGUUUGUGGUUUUUAAAAGAUGGGAUAAUAUAAAGAAAUACAUUAUUAGAUAUACUUUUGUUUAUUUGCUUGUGUCCAAACACAUAUCUGUUUGUUUUUUUGUAUGUUAAUUCUAUAUAUUUUUAGACAAAAGUAUUGAAUGAUCAACAAUAUACAAUUGCAUAACACUUUUUUCAUAUUAUAAAUGUAUGACUAGUAUGGAGGGUAAUCAGAUAUUAAUUUACUUUUACAUUUUUUAUUUUUACAAUUAAAAAAAUAUAGUGACAUAUACUUUAUUAUUAUAAAUGUUUUUCUAUUUUGCAAACUCCUUACUUUUUCGGUUGUAUUUACAAAUUGAUUAUGGUACAAUUAGUCUUACCUAUACUUAUGUAAAAUCAAGAAUAUAUAUUUAUAUAUAUAUAUAUAUAUAUAUAUGGAAUGUUUGGCAACUAAUUAUAUCUCCAUUUUCUAACCAUUUGGAUUUUUUAUUUUUAUUUUUACAAUUAAAUCAUUUUCUUGUAAUUAUUUAAAUCUUUCUUGAAUUUUUAGCAAAAUUCAAAAAUAAAAUAAUAUUGACAAUAAUAAGGAAUCCUUUGGUUUUCAAAUUUUUAUUUGAUUUUUUAAAAUAUUAAUUUAAAACGUAGAUUACAGUACAAACUAUUUAAACGUGGAAAUAGUAUUCAUGUGCUUAAUUAAAAAUUAAAAAUUAAAAAAAAAAAAAAAACGUAAAAAGAAAAACCAACUAUCCCAAUAUUUCCAAAAAUUAGCUCUAAUUCGAAAUAGUAAGUUAUAUUAAGAAUUCCUUUUUUUUUUUCAAGAAAUGAGAAACCAUAGUAUGUAGAUAUGAAUUAUAGUUUUUUCUAAAAAAAUUGAAAUAAAAUAGUAAUGGCUAAAUGGUCAUGAAACGGAGCAAAAGGGAAAGAGGAGUGAUUGUUAUAAAUUAAUUUAGAUUAACUAAUUUGAGAGUGUGGUUUCAGGCUAUUAAUCACAGCAUUUCAAGUUCAUUUUUGGAGAAGAUGAGAAAAAUAAGUGAGCAAUUUUUCUCAUUGCCCAUUGAAGAGAAGAUGAGAUAUGGAAGAGAAGUUGAUGGAAUGGAAGGAUAUGGGAAUGAUUUAAUUCUUUCAGAACAACAAAUUCUAGAUUGGUCUGAUCGUUUAUAUUUCGUGACAAAUCCUGAAGAUGAAAGACGUCUCGAGCUUUGGCCUUUAAAUCCUCCAUCUUUCAGGUUAGUUUCAACGCUAAUCUUUCAUAUAUCUAAAUCAGUUCAACAUUCUCAAAAAUUGUCACUACAAGAAUGAAAACCUUUCUCGACGCAAAAAUACGUCUAAAAAAACACAAAAUGCGUCGGAGAAAGUAUUUCCAACAUCCAUAUGCAACGUCGGCAUGAACGUCGGAGAAACAACGUUGGGGACACCUUCCCCGGCACGUGCGACGCGAACGCCAGUGUCAUGUUCACCGGUGCAUAAGUUCGACAUCGAAAAAAGGAAACCCUGGUGUGAUGUCAGCACAUCGGCAAAGUCUUUUUUGACGUGACGUUGAGAAACGUCUUCCCUGACGUCGAUGCAAAACGUCGGAGUUUGGCCCUUUCCCUGACGUGUAUUGCACGUCGAGGAAGGCUUUUAUUUUAUUUUUUAAUUAUUUUUUAUUUUUGUUAUCGUAAAUUACCAAUCACCAAGUUCAGUGCCCACUGCAACAUACACAGAGCAGUUGUGGUUGCAAAUGUUCCCAGGACUUUGAUGAUGAUUUUUUGGAAGAUGGUGGUGGAACCAAGGACAACAACAAACACAUGGUUAUCAAGUAUGCCUUUGAACACAUCGAUUUUGUCCAUCUCCCUUGAACUUAUUUCGUUGAAAAUAUGCAAGAAGAAAAUCUGAAAUUAAUCGAGUAGAUGGGUUUCGAUAAUGUAGUAAAUAGAUGUUGGAGGCGUUGACGAGUCCACUCUAAAUUUACUCUAAAUCUCACAAACUUUUAAGAGAAGAAAUUUGUUCUCUUAGAAAACUCAAUAACACACAAGAGAAGAAUGUUGUUCUCUUGAAACUCACUUACUUUCUAAAACUCAAUUUGCUUCUACUGAUUUGAUUCUUUUAUCUUGUAUACAAAUGAAGGAAAUGAUCUCUAUAUAUAGUAUUCAAGAGACACUUCCUAAAAGACACAAAAUAAAUGAAGUACAUGAAUACAUACCAUUCAUGUACUUGAAUAAUUACAUGUAUCUAGAAAUGCAUAUGUAUCUUGAAACUAGAAAUGUAUCUAUUAAUGUGUUAUCCAUAAUGUAUCUAGCUUAUUAAUUUCUAACAUGCCCCCUUAAGCUAGACUUCCCAAACUCCGAGCUUCUCUUUCAUUUUCAAGAAUGAAUCUGUCUUUAAUGCUUUUGUGAAUACGUCUGCAACUUGAUCUUGAGUCUUGCAAUACCUGAUAUAUACUUCUCCAUCUUUGAUCAAUUCUCUGAUGAAAUGAUAUUUGAUGUUUAUGUGUUUGCUUCUUCCAUGAAAAACGGGAUUCUUCGAAAGUGAAAUAGAUGAUUGAUUGUCACAGAACAUGAUGGUCCCUUUCUCUUGAGGACACUUCAAUUCAUGUAGUACAUUUCUUAGCCAAAGUGCUUGACAACUAGCAACAGACAAAGAAAUGUAUUCAGCUUCUGUUGUGGACAAUGCUACAACAUCUUGCUUCUUUGAUGCCCAUGAAACUGCUCCAGAACCAAUAUUAAAUACAUACCCAGAAGUACUUUUGAAAUCAUCAAUAUUUCCUCCCCAAUCACUAUCACUGUAGCCAACAAGAACAUUAUCCACAUUCCUUUUAUAGUGGAUUCCAUGAUCAACAGUUCCAAGAAUGUAUCUAAGAACUCUCUUUCCAGCUUCCCAAUGACUUCUCUUUGGUGAUGUCAUAAAUCUACUCAAUAAACUGACCGAGAACAUAAUAUCAGGUCUAGUUGUAGUUAAAUACAUUAAACUUCCAACCAAACUUCUAUAAAUGGUGGCAUCAAAAGCUUCACUAACAUCAUGCUUACUUAACUUUAAACCCAAUUCCAUAGGAGUACUGGCAGGAUAAGCAUUCUCCAUUUUGAACUUUUUCAACAAAUCUUUUGCAUACUUCUUUUGGAAAAUUGCAAUCUCAUUAUCACCUUGUUUAACUUCAAUACCAAGAAAAUAAUGAAGUAAACCCAUAUCAGUCAUCUCAAAUUCCUUUUUCAUGCUCUCUUUGAAUUCUUCAAUCAUCAUAUUUGAGUUGCCCGUAAAUAUUAAAUCAUCAACAUAUAGACAAAUUAUCAAGAAAUUACCAUUUUCAUCUUCUUUGGUGUAGAGAGCAUGUUCAUAUGGACAUCUUCUGAAACCAUCCUUUAAGAAAAAAUUGUCGAUGCGACUGUACCAAGCCCUUGGUGCUUGCUUUAGCCCAUACAAGGCUUUCUUUAAUCGACACACCUUAUUUUCUUCUCCAAUCUUUGCAUAACCGGGG
rnacentral:lncRNA from 1 species